rnacentral:lncRNA from 1 species
GUGUGCUGCAAAUUCUAGAUUUUUAGAAUGUCCAUACAUUGAAAUACAUCUGUUGUGAUUGUAUACACCAACUCUGUAACCUAUAAAACUUUCAUAUAUUUGUUUGGCAGUUUCCAACCUCUCACUUGUUUGUUAACCUGUCAUCCGGUAGGUUAGCACGAUUCUUUGAGUAUGGGACUACAGAGAGCUAUUUGGCAAAGCGUAUUGAACGACACUAUCUAGGUUGUUUUACUUCUCAAUAUGUUAAACGAUCCUCUGUAAAAUUGGUUUUGGUAUCUAAUUUGAGUAAGGUGUUGGAAUACACCUUGGGUAGUUUAGGUUUUUUUCUUUUCUUUUCUUUCUGACAGUAAGUUGUUUAAGAACAAGUAACUAUUGACUGCCUUAGAAAAGGAUAGGAGUUUGGUUCCUUUUGUUAGAGAGCUAGACAAGUGUUGAGAUCGGAGAUGGGUUUUGAAGCAGUGAGACUUGGUGGCAUAUUGCAAUUCUUGAUUGUUACUUAUGCAUAAUGUUCUUGAGACUUGUUUAGGUGGUCAUUGUGGGCGAGUCUUUGGUAGGAUCUCCCUAUUAGUGCAUAUUUGAUCUAGUUGUGUUCUCUAUUCCUUAAAACAAAAUUAUGACUAUUACCAUUAGGAAAAUGCUGAAUCUCACGACAGAUUUUAUAGUGAAAGCAUCGCUACUCGCGAGCGUGUAUUUGCUGUUUCUCUCUCCUGUUAAAAUUUCUCUCUCUUCCGUGUAUUGUGGGAAACCCAUUGUUUUUAAUUGGUCAAUUGCUUGUUCUUGAUGAAUUCGGGACAAAAUCUUUCCCUUUAAAUAGCAUUGCUGAUCACUAUUAUAAUGGAAAUGGGAAGAUUAUAUCAAUUUCUUAAGAUGUUCAUGACAAAAUUAUGACUUUUAAAAUAUAUAUUUUGCGACUUCGGUCACAUAGUAUAAGCAUUCCUCCAAUACCGCAUAAGAAUGUUUUUGUUUCCAUAUAAAAUUUGAAACUACGUUUCUACUUUUGUUGCCAAUAUAGAGUGAUCUUGGCCAGUUCAUCCAUGCACGAAGUGGAAGAUCCAUCCAUAGUUUUCACAUAGCACAAACAUUGAGAUUUGAGAUUCUUGAAUUUUCAAUUUCGUCAAUGCAAGGUUUGAUUUCACCAUUUUCUUUUAUGAAGGCGUUGAUAGAGAUUAUCAACGAACGAAUUGCUGGUUUCUUUAACAUUAAAAAUGCUCAAGAAAAUACCUUUUUUAAAAUCAGAUGAUAUCUUCAUGACAAGGAUUAACGUUUGAUUUUGCGUGAUAAUCAAAUGAUAUUCUCAGUUUACUAAUCUUCCAUAACCACAUAUUCCUUAAAAACACAAUAUAUGGGUAAAUGAUAAUUUUAUAAAUUUACAAAACAAUUUGAAAUUCAAUCGGAAUCACAUAUUGUUCACAUAUUUAUAUAUCUUUAUAAUUUCUGUUAAAAAAUAACAAAUCUAUCUUUAUAAUUAACAGUUGUUAUAAAUUCAUAAUAGAGUGUAAUAAAGUUAAGUUAAAAUAACGUAACAGUGCAUCAAAAAUAUAAAAUUACAAUUGUUCUAAGACUUUUUUUCUCCUGCUAAUUUGAUGCUUAAAAUAGAACGGAGUAGUCCCUAAGACUUUUUUUUUUCGAGAAGCAUGUCAAUAGAAAUAGUAGUCACACACCCUGGGUCUUUACAACAUAGCAACAACAAAUAUUUACAGUGAAGUUAAACUCAGACGCAUAAAAUAGAAAUGCCAAAAUGUUAACUACCACGUAUCUAGAAAUUUGCUGGUGCUUCACAAUAUUAGUCUACCUUGAGAUGUUCACACCAAAGAUGUGAACAAAGUACACAGUAAAAUAUAAUAAAAGAAAAUUCUAUUUUUCAAAAUUACUAUCAAGAACCAGUGAAUCACGCUGUAGGAUUGGGAAGGGCUUUGGGUUUUGGCUUGACUUCAAUCUCGUUCACACUGCGAACGUAGAUAGCAUCUUGGUCAUGGCUGCAAAAGAAAUUAACAACAGAUUAGAGAGAGAGCGUGUGUGUGGAGAAAAUGGGAAUAGGGAAUACUUACGGUUUAGGUCCCUCUUCAAAAGUGUAACUUGAUGCAACAGCUAGGAGGCGUCCAUCUCUGCUAAACGAGAGUGCAGCAACGCUACUAGGAUAUUUUGAAUACUGCAAGGAUAAAUGGAAAUUUAGUAUUUGAUGCAGUGCCAUAAGAAGAAUCUGAUCUUUAAAUUUACUUGAGGCAAAUGAGAAAAACCUGGUAUAGCCUCUUUUUGUUGUUUCCGUCCCAGACGUUAACAAAACCGUCACAACCUCCUGUGGCAAAUGUACCAUAUCUGCACGAAAAAUUUCCAUGAGUAUUUUGACACUUUAAUUAAGCAUUAACAGAGCUCUAUGUGCCAGUUAGUAUGUUGUUACUGCUACUAAUAAAUUAGUGAUAAUUGGGUUGGCAGCUGUUAGUUAGUUGCAAUUGAUAGUUGGCUGAGAUUGUUAGUUUGAUAUAAGCCGUACUCUAUGGAAAGAACGAUGUAUUCAAGGUGUUUAGCACCUUUUAUCAAUAAGAUUCCUUACGAUAUUCAAGGUGUUUAACACCUUUGCACACAUUUUCUUGUCCCCUAGAUUGGUUCUUAUUACUCCAACUAUUCCAUUGUUGUAAGGGUGGGAAACUCUUGUAUAUUAAAAUUCUAACCAUCCAAUUUCAGAAUCCAGUUAAGGGUAAUAUCACCAUGUCAUUUUUGGUGUUUUGAAUGAUACAAAUCCUACAAUGGUACUGAUAGGAGAAACAACUAUGCAAACAUUAACAAGAUGCUUCUCAUUUCAAAUACAUCACUUGCCAAUGACAUUCAUAAUAGCUCCUAGUCAUUUUCUAGUUGAUUUUUGGAGUACUGAAUUGCACAACUUUCAUGAUCCUAUCAACAUUCAGUUAGGAUGCAACCAACCUUUCCCAACAAUAUACUUGCAAUCAUUUAAUUUCUAAACCAAAUAGUCAUGAUUAUUGAUAACAUGUAUGGAAGGAACUGUCACGCACAAAAAAUUGGUACAAGCUAAGAGAUUAUUGUUUCCCGACUCAAGCCAUUGGUGUCCAUUCUUUGGACCCAGAGAACAUAAAUAGCCGAUGACGAGAUUUAUGUAAUCCACCAAAACCACAAUUUGUUUUAAAUUUUAACCUCUUUAGGAUGCUUGUAAAUUAAGAUGAUAAGAAAUUCUGAUAGACAAAGAACUUGAAAAUACAUACAUGGGGUGGAAUGCCAUGGCAUUCACAGGAUAGACGAUAUCCCUUCCAGCUUCAGAUUUUCUAUGACACUUGAAAGCGUAUCUGUGUGGAGUUUAGAAGCAAAUGACGUGUUAUAUAGACUACAUAAAAGAAGUAAAAAAAACAACAAUUUUGAAGCGGUUAAAAUGAUAAACAUAAUGCAAAAAAUCAAUACUUCUUUGCCUGGCUAGCCUCAGAUAGGUCAAAGAAUUCCAUUGCAACCCGCCCUUCAACAGAACUAAGAGCAUAUCCUGCAAAAAGUAUGUGGAAUAUGAACAUCAAGGCUAAGAAACUCAACACAAAAAUCAGUGCCAUCAAGGCUCUAAGAAACUAUUUAAAGCACAGUGUAUAAGCAAACACAAACCAGCAUUUGAUGAAGAUUUCAAAUGAGAUUGAAGAAACAAAACAAAGUCCAAACCAUAAGUUUUGCAAAUUAUUCCAAAAUCACACAUACACUACAGCUUACCUGUUCCAUUUGGGUAGCAGCGUACACAUCUGGUUUGAUAUUUCAAUGAAGAUUCCCUUCGUUGUUCAGGACAAGACAUGUUCCUCAUGUCAUAAACAUUAACGUGUCUUCCAGCUGUUGCUACUACAAGCCGAUGUCCAACAAGAGAUAGAGAGUAAACACGUUCAGGCUGUGCAUACGUCCCAACUAGAGUGCGCUCUUGUCCACUUGCACCUCUAGGGUCCCAACAUUUUAUGGUUUUGUCCCAACUUCCAGUGAUCAAUUGCCCUAUAAUGAUGGAUAAGUUAAAAGUUAGCCCAUUGUCAAUAGUAAAAUUUUCAGCAAAUAAGCUGAAAUUCUUGUCAUUGGCACGGAUAAGUUAAGAAUGAUGACUCUUUUGAACGGAAAUAAUAAUAUUCAACAGUAACGGAUGUUAAUUGAUAAUGAUAUACAACCAAAUAUGUUAUCAUUGUUGGUUUUAAAGUUGAUUCUCAAGGCACAUUUUAGGAGAAGACACACAUCACAAAUCAAAUCUAGUACACUACAUAUACAAUACUUAAUUAUUAAAGAAUAUCACGAGGCAAUGCAAAACUGACUUGACAUGUAUAUUUUUGAAAAUGAAAUGUUUAUGUCGUGAAAUGAAGUUAUAGUAACUAGUAGUACCCAUUUGAAUUAUAUUGAAAAGAGUAAGUAACCUGCGGCGUAAGAGUACUCAACACAACGAACAGGAGCAUCAUGCUUUCCCAAAAUAUCCUCUUUACCGGUAGCGAAAAUGAGGCUAUAAAAAGUAAUUGAAAAGAGAAAUGAGAACUAAGAAUGGAUCUGGUGAGAAAAUGGAAAGGUGAAGUAAGUAAGUAAGUAACUGACCGUCUGACAGUGUUAUCGGCGGAGGCACUGAAACCAGAAGAGUCAUCAUGAAAGCAACAGUCAAGAACAGGUCCGCCGUGAAGGAACUCACCUCUAAGAAAAUCUGCGGUUGCAUCAUAAAGACGAACAGUUUUGUCCCAAGAGGAGACAAGAAGAUGAUCACUGUGGUUUGAGAAUCGAAUGUUUGAGAUUCCGUCUGACGGAGGGUUUGUUAAUUCUCGACCGGAGGAUACCACUGUUGUUGUUGUUGUUGUUGCCAUUGUUCAACUCACUACCUAUCUAUCUAAUCUAGGGUUUCCAAAACACAACAAUUUCUUUUACUCUUUAGAUUCGAUAAAGUGUUUGUGUUUGUAUUCAAUUUAUUUCAAAUUUUCAAAUUCUCUGUCUUCUGUUUUUUGAUAGAUUUCAAUUUCAAAAUCAACCAGACUCAGCCACUGAGUUAUUAUCGCCCGACCCGGCCCGUUUACGUGUGUUUCUCAUUACUAUCCCCAUCCCUCUUUUUUCAUUCCCACCCCUUUUUAAAUAUCCUACACCGAUCAAUCAUCCUCCUUCCCUUCUAUUUUCUUUUGCAUGCCCUCCCAACACAGCAUAACUUUACAAUCCAAAUUCGAAGGAAGGGAACAUGGAAUACAUAUAUCAUUGCUUCCACUCUACAUUUUUACUAACACGCAUUAAUCUACCAUCAUUUUUACAAUCUAAACAACUGACUCUAACUUAAUUUCAUUCCAUCACAUCUUACGAAUCUAAAGAACUGAGUGGUACAAUGUUAGGCUAUCAUCCAACUCAGGAUGUUAGUUACCGUUAAUAAAGAUAACGACGUAGACUUCUACUUUAUUGCAAUGAAGAUUUUUUCUUUGACGAUAAUUAUUCAUUCAAACUCCUUAGACACCGGGUAUGAUUACAUGGUUUGUUUAUAUCACACAUAUUUUUGUUAACCAAGUAUACUUUAAGAAUUCAUCUAAAAAGGAAGUAUGCUUUAAGAAAUUUUGUUUUGUUUUUUAUUUUAAAAUUAAUCACAAAAUUGCAAUUCUGUUUUAUACCUAUCACAGUAAAACAAUACAAAAAAUACAAAUUAUUAUCUCAUAAUAAAAUGGAAUUAAAUUUCUGGAAUAAUUUUUAUUUGGGCAUACUUAUUUUUUUUUUAAAAAUGAUUAACUGUUCAAAUAAUUAGACAAAAAUAAAGUUGCAGCUAAGUCCAUUAUUUUUCGGUUAUCAAAUAAAGAAGUCCAAGAGAUUAAAUAUUACAGCAAAGUUUAAUAUAAGCUAAUAAUGAUAUUUAUAGUUAACGAACUUAUUUCUCGAUAUUUUAUUUAUAUUAACAAUAUCAUCUGAUUAAUUACUUGAUUUUCUCUAAAGUUCUUUCGUUUAUAGUAUAUGCACCAUUUUUAGGACCACCAGUCGGGUUGUUAGUGGCUAGCCAUACCUCAAUUAUUCCCAUCGCAAGGGUUUUGUCUCUUUUUUUAAAUGCAUGACAACCACUGGCGCCCUUUUUUUAUUUGAAAUGUGUAUAUCAAGAAAUAAUAAGAAUAUGUCCUACCUAACAUUCGUAAAAAAAAUGUCCUAACAAGGUAAGAAGAAAACAUUCUACUAAGUUUAUCCUUAAUUCUACCAAUUUAACCUCUUUAUCCAAUAAUAAAGAAAACAAUCGACUAAAUUUAUUCUUUAAACUGACUCUACUCACCCACGUUUUUUACUAAAAUAUUUCUCCCCCAUCUCCCAACACUUUUAGAUAUAUUUUGUUUCGGUAUUUGAAAACUCAAAAGUGAUUCUAAAGGUUGUAGAAUUGAUUUCUUCAAAAAGGUUGUAAAAUUGAUUUAUCAUGUUUUGAUGAUUUAAAGGAGAAUCAAUUUUACUUGAAGAUAGAAUUUGUAACUUUUAUCUUCUAUAAUUGAUUUUAGCCUUAAAUUUUACUACAUAAAUAUAACCAAACUUAAAUCACUUGACAUCAAACUCACUUUUAUUCAAAAUCUAUUUUUAGAAUUAAUUUACAAAAUAAAUUCUUAGUCACAUACUUAGAAUUAAACACCCCUUCUCAAUUCUCCCAACUCAUGUGCCGCCAAAAUGAUGUCGUCCUCACGAGUUAGGAUCUUUUCAUUUAGAAUCAUCUCCAUUUAAUCCAUUUACAUGGAGAAAGACAAACAAAACAUUAGACUUGAUCAAUAUUUCAAAUGCGACCUUAAAUAUGAUCAAAUUCAAUGAAAUAUGAGUCCAAUAAAGACGAGAUAAUAUUAGAACAAGAAAGAAUUGGUUCCAAAACAAGUCACGAUUCAACAAUACAUAUACUUUUUCACAUUAUUUGAUUGACUCGGCUAAAAGGGACUAGUUGGGGUUGAGCUAUGCUCCAUUAAAAGUAACUGUUCUUUCUAGGAAAUUGAUUGGGUUUAGAAUCUCAACUAAGGAAAAUCUCUUCAAAAGGAUGGUGUUGUGCGAGGGGGUGCCGAAAUCGGAGAACCACUUGUUUACGAGUUCAAUUUGGUAUGAAAUUUUCAAAUGGCUAUGGGUGGGGGUGGUAUUACCGUGUUCAACUACAAUAUUGUUAUUGACAUUUGGUGCUUUGACUAGGAGGGGAAAAUGGUCAAUAGUGGUGAUGUUGGUUUGGGAUAAGCCGGUAUGGUAUUUGUAAGGCUAGAACCGAUAAAAAAAAAAAAAAAAAAAAAAAAAAAAAAAAAAAAACUGGAAAACAAUCCAAUGCUUUGGAAGCCAUAUAUGAUAUCAAAAACUUGUCUUGAAGUUGGUUUUUAUGAAGGAAAUUAGGUCCUCUUUGUCUCUUAUAUGAAUGCAUGGUUCACAUUACCACUAGAUUGUAUGGUAGUAAGGAAUUGAUAUGUAAUGGUUUUCAAUUUUUUUGUGGAGUAAAACUGUUCUCUUUGCCGUUAAAAAUAAAAUAAAAAUUGUUUAACUAAAAUGGAUUGAUUUGAUAUUUGUAUAAAAUAAUUGUUACUAAUAUUAUGCUUGUAUUAGUAUAGUAGAUAUUCAUUUGUGCUUCACUUUGUCAUCUAGCAGUCUCAUACGACCGACCAUGUUCACGCGGAAGCAAAACAAUGGUUAAGUUAUUAUUAUUUUUGGGAGUGGUCCCAAUCCCAUAUUGCAAAUUGAGUUUCAUUUCAAGAUGUCGUCAUAUGUGAAUAAAUAUGAGAUGUGGGACCAGGCCACCCUUUUUCAAGAAAAGCAUCUAACCCAAUUGUCUUAUUUUUAAUGAUGUUUUCCUAAAUAUUACGUACUUUGCCAAUAAUGUUCUUGGAGGAUUGCAGUGUCAGAAAGUUGAUUAGUUGAAAUCUUAGGAAAGUGUGAGUGCAAGAUUAAAAGUUUAGAUGUAAUUAAUUCCAUAUAAGAGAAAUGAAUUGGUUAUAGUUUAACACUUUGUUUAUAAAUAGAUUAGUAGUAUUCCCAAAUGGCAUCAACCGGGAGCGCAUGCUCGGCUAUUUAAUGUUGUUAUGAUUUGUUUUCUAUUUGUGUUCUUUCAGUUUAAUUUCCCCCCUUCUGUUUUGUAUAUGUACAUAAGAUAGAUAACAGUGUAAUCAACAUUUACGGGAAUUCAUUCAUAUUCAGAAAUUGUGUUUAGAGUUUCAUAUUCAUAAAUUCCCAUGGGGAGUUCACCCUGAGCCUGAGCCUGAGCCUGAGCUAGCUAAUUCAUACGUGUAAACAUGGAUGUGGAUAUAUCGAUGAAAAAAAUAUAUAUAUUGUUUUGUGGUCCAGUCCAGUAGUUCACAUAUAGAUAUAAGUAUUGAUUUUAACUUGUAUAUAUUCAAGUUGUACAUAUGAAUCUGGUUUGAUAUAUGAAUAUGUCCAUCCAUCCAACAUGUACGUAGCUAAUGCUGUAUGCCAUAUAUAGAUAGUAAUAGUAGUAUGAAAAUCUAGAGUUUAAAUUGAAUAUAUAUUUCUGAUCGAAUGUAGUAGGUAGCUAGGUUUUUUCUUUUGUAAGAUCCCUCCCUGGACUGAAGGGGACAAAAAUCCAGUUACAGAUAGAUAGUGCUGUCUGUUUCAAUGACAGUUUGUUCAAGAAUCUCACACAGACUCCUCACCACGAUCUCAUUUUCAUUUUCAACCUCAUCAUAUGAAUACCAUAACCCCACGUCUCUCUCCCACACGCGUUUGGGAAUAUAUAAUCACACCUAUACUGUUGUAUAUGAUAAAUAAAUAAAUAAAUAAAUAAUCCAUAUAAGAGUUAAGUAAUGUUUCUAAAUAACUAACUAACUAUUUAACCUGGCUCCUCUUCAGUCUUCAGGCUUAAGUGGUCCCAUACCUGAGCAUAUAUAUAUAUAUAUAUAUAUAUUAAGACUUUGUCAGAUGCUAAUUAUUGGCAAUUAUAUGUAUAUUCAGAUCUCUUCAUAUAAGGAUGAAGUCACUCCCUAUUCUAUUCUAUUCUAUUAUAUACUACAUACAUUCUUAUUCCUAUUUGUCCACUAUAAAUAGAUGGAAUACUAUCAAACACUAAAAACAAGUGUAGAGAUCUUCUGCAAUAUUACAUUAAUAUAACACUAACACUCUGAAAUAAAAUGGAACCUACUGGUCUUAUUUCUCAAGAAUGGACUUCUCUUAGUGGACUCUACACUGCUGAGGAAUCUGACUUUAUGAACCAGUUACUUGGUAACUCCUCAUUCUCACAACAUUUCUAUCAAAAUUCCAAUUUCGGAACUGAAACUACAUUUUGGCCACCAUAUGAUUCCACAAUAGUUACUGCACAAGUUCCUAGCUCAACCUCUGAUACUAGUAACCUCUUCCCCACAACAAGUUGUUUCAACAACAAUCCAGUAACCACUUUUGACUAUAUUUCCAUGGGUCUUUCCAUAGAUUAUUCCAAAUUCACUCCAUGUACAACACAAUCUGAUGAACAAGUUCUAGCUAACAAAAAUUUGCAGGCCCGAAAAACGGAACGUGAAAUACUAGUUUCUGAACCAGAAGAGGAUAAAACCACAAGCACAGAAAAUUCAGGAAAAAGAUCUAGGAGCUCAAAUGAGGUAACAAACAGAAGGCCCAUGAAUCUUCUAAAUGUCUCCCUUACUACUGCUGUUUUUUAUUUCUUCUUUCCAACUGAUAUGCAUUUCCUUUUCCACCACGGUUUAUGGUUUGGAUUUUGAUUUUCUGAAAUUCUCCUUGUCAUUUGAUAUUAUAGGUCCCAAAGAACAAGAGGAAUGUUAAAUGUAGGAAGAUGAUUAGGUGUGCUUCUAUAAGCACUGAAGAGAAUACAAGUACUGGUUCUCAGGAUCAGACCUUAAGCGGUUAUUGUUCAGAGGAUGAGUCCAAUUCUUCUCAUGAGCCACGUGGAAGGGAAUCUUCUAGUUUGAGCCUGAAUGAUUCUGCAGCUAAAUUAAGUGGAAAAUCAAGAUCUAGUAGAGGUCCUGCUACUGAUCCACAGAGCCUCUAUGCAAGAGUAAGUCUUUUGUGGAAUAACAACACUUAGUUUCUCAUAGUCCUUAAGUCUUAAAAGAUAUGCACUAUUAGUCUAUUACCCGAUUUCAAUCAAACUCGAUUAAAAAGUGUUUAUGUGGAUGUUAAUUGUUAAGUUGGUAGGUUCUUAAAAGUGGUUAUUCAUAAUGUAUUUGGUUUUUCUAAUAAUGUAUGAUAUUCUGCUGCUGUCCAUGUAAUGUGAGGGAUUAGCUCUUACCAUGUUUUCCUUUUGUAUUGUAUAGAAAAGAAGAGAAAGAAUAAAUGAAAGGUUGAAAAUCCUACAAAACCUUGUCCCCAAUGGAACUAAGGUAACUUUCUUUCUCAAUGACAUUCAACAAUAGGUUCAUCUGCUAAAAAUUCAGAAUUUUUUUUGUUGAUUAACCCUGCAGGUGGAUAUCAGCACCAUGCUUGAGGAAGCUGUCCAAUAUGUGAAAUUUUUACAACUUCAAAUUAAGGUUUGAGGAUUCUCCUUUCUCUCUCUGCAUUUAAAAUUUGAGCUCAAUGCAAAGACAAUUACUGAUCCCUAUAUGAAUAUGAAUUGAACAGCUUCUAAGCUCUGAUGACACGUGGAUGUACUCUCCCAUUGCUUACAAUGGAAUGAACAUUGGACUUGAACUUGGUAUUACCCCAACAAAAGUAACAAAGGAUAUGCAUAACAACAUACCAAUAAAAGAGAAUGCAGCACUUUAAGAGACCCGAGUUCCAUUCCAUUUUUGUGAUUUUUUUUGCUGUUUUCUAUUUAAUUCUUAGCAUAUAUGAAAUUGAUUACAAAGCAAACCUUUACUUCUAAAUAAUGAGAUAUCAAAUUGAGUUGGUUUCUUGAUUCUUUGUAUAAGCAUUACGUGGAAAUUAUAAUCAAAAAAGUAAUAUACACGCUCUCUUGUUCUUUUAGGAGUAUAUUUACCAAAUUACAUGAAUUUCAUUGGAUGAUGUACUCAUUCUACCGUAAUAACAUGUGAAAUAAGUUUUAUUUAUCUUUCUAUCUAUCGAUACACUUUUAUGGUUGUACUAGUUCUAUAGUAUAAAUGAAGUUUUCAAGAACCAUCGCGUAUGAACAUGUGGUUCACUUGUAAUUUUUUUUUUUUUAAAGGUAUUAUUAUGAAAAUUAAGGUGACAACUACAUUACCCUUCAAUUUAUCAAAAAAAACUACAUUACACAUCAACAAAAUGUGGAUAGAGUUACUCAUAUCGGAUUGACAUCAAUCAAAAUUAUUCAUUUGUUUUCUACUAUAAGAAUGAUUUUGAUUAAUGGCAACUCAGUAUAAACAACUUUACCCGUCUUUGCCUGUAUGUAAAUAAGACUGCCAAAAAUUAAAACCAUAAAUUGUUGCUUUUGACAAAAUACAGCCUGCAUUGGGUAAAAACCAUAAUAAGCAAUUUCUCUUAUUUGUUUCCGCUUAAAGGGAAAGAAAAAGAAAAAGAAAAAAAGCAAAGGCUUCCAAUCUUCCAUCCACUUUUCAAAACAAAACCCCCAUCUACUAUUAAAAAAUUAUCAACUACCAUUGCCACAUAAACUUUAUACAUUAUUGGCUAAAAUUUAUCAACUACCCAUAACCAUAUUUAGAUUCUUUUGAUGGACAAAACAUUAUACAUUAUUGGUAUCUUUUAAUAUAUCCAUUGAAGUUGGAUCUAAUUGUGAUCCUUCUAUAUAACAACUUUUAUGUGACAGUUUUCUUUGGAUAGUUAGUAAAAAUACAUUAAAAAAUAUGUUAAUCUUGGAAUAAGAAGAUAAAUCCCUUGUGCUAAUUGUAUGUAUAACUAUUACGGAGUACAACGUCUUUCAUGAACAAGACGAAAACUGUUAUCAAUAAAAACCAGAAGACAAUUCGGUUGUCCUAAUGUGUUUAAUGCAUAAUUAUGGCUAGUGAUGCAUAUUUUGUGUAGGACUGUGAAUCUGAUAUAUAAUACAGACGUACUAAUGCAUGGCAACUCACAUCCUAAAUACAAAUUCACAUAACAUCCAGAGUAAAAGUGAAAAAAGCACAAACGCCCAACAGAGCAGUGAAAUAAUAUCAAGAUGUUUUCUGAACUACAGCACCAUAAGUUACAACAUUGUGCGUGGAAGAAUACAUAUGGUAAACAGCAAUCCAGUGAAAUACAUCUGACCUUCCAAGAGCAUUCUAAAUUUCUAAUUGGCAAUAUUUUAUUGUCUAUAUAUUACAGUACUAAACAAAAGGCUCAGAAUUCUAAUGGCUCAAAGAGGGCACAGGAGACGCCACAUCCAUGCUACAUGCCAUGAAAUCCCACGAGACUGAACUGUUUUCUUCUUUCAAGCUCUUUGAUGAUUGACGUGAUUUGGAACUUCUGCUUGGCUGUCCAAGGGCAUAUAUUGUGCCAUGAUUGCUCUGAUUUCAGAAUCCAUGUAUUGCUGCAAAACCACCAACAAAUUACCGAUAAAUUUAUUAUCUCAUUUAUAUGCUAUUAAACACAACAAAGUAAGCAAGUCAUGGAAAACUCUAUGCUAUAAUGCUUUAGAAAUUUAUCAAUUGGCACCCAAUAAAAAUCACCAAACUGAGAGAAUGCAGCAGAGCUUACCCUGAUUCUAUAUUUGUACACGAGGAAUCCCCCUCCAGCAAUCAUACCCAAGCCAAUCAAAAUGACCCAAAAAGCAGCCCAAGUGGAUUUUGCCUGACUGGCAGUUUUACCUGUAGAUUAUACAGUAGGAGACAUGAAAACAAGCAUUACAACAAGAACAUCCUCUCAAAAAACAAGAACGUGUAAAUGUAGGUGCAAGUAAAAAAGUCUAUUGUAUACAACUCACUUAUACAGGUAUCAUGGUCCUUGAUAUACAGAAGAUCUCCACUACAACUGCAGUCAUAGCUGCCCCAAGUGUUUUUGCAGCUACAUUCAGGGCACUGACAAGCUUUCUUCUCUUUGCAUUCAUCAAUGUCUGUCAAGAUGAAACAGAAGUAGUUCAACUUAUGAAUUCCAAAUUUUUUUAUAGUGGAAACAUUCACAAGGUAUCAUCAAGAUCACAAUGCUUGUUCAACCCAUGGACUAAGAAGAAUCUGCAGCUACUUGACUGGUGAUAGUAAGUUCAAUCACUGUUUAUCCAAGUAUAGAAGCCAAUACUUGCUGAGAUUUCAGUAACUCUCUCCAGUGAAACAAACAUAGAGGAGAUAACAUAUUUUGGACAAAAGAGAGAGGAAGACAAAUUUGAUCCAGAUUGAAGCAUAAAGUACUAACUUAUAGUGUACAACAGCAAACCAUCGAUUCUAUUAAUAAUAUUUCACAAAUAUUACUAGCAGACAAUAAGACAUUCAAGAAUGAAGGUUCAGUCACAAUUGAUAAAAAUAUUAAAAACACAAUGAGGAUUCUAUUCAUGGUGUAUAAUAGUAUAUACUACGCUGAUCUGUAUAUUCAGAAAGCUACAGAGCAGGGGGGGAUAGUAACAAAGAAAAAUAACAUAAGCAUCCCUCAUAUUCAGAAAGCUACAGAGCAGGGGGGGAUAGUAACAAAGAAAAAUAACAUAAGCAUCCCUCACCUUCACAAUUUUUUACACCAUCACCUUUAAACCCUGUAGGACACUGGCAUUUAACUCCUCCAUCAUCCUGUUUACACAACAAUAUGUGUAGUAAUUCAGUUUCUAAUUUGGGAUUAACAAGCCAAUAAAACUACAAACAUUUAAACAAAAAUUUAUUGUUGAUAAAAUAAAUUGAAUAAAGUUUGGCCAAUAAAUUUAAUAGUUACUAACCAAACAAGCAGAAAAUGCAUGUCCGUUCCGGGCAUCAUGCCAACAUCCUCCAUUGUUGAUCUUGCAACGCCCAGGUCCACCGACUGCAAACACAGAAGAAACUAGUUACACGCAACUACGAGUGCAUGUGGGGAAAAAAGAAUCACAGAUGUCCCUCAGCUAAAGGAUUGUGAUUACACCCUGCUAUGCACAACACAGCAUAGAAGUGAAGGCAAUAAACAUGGUACAGAAAUAGCAAACCCUUUAGAAAUCAAUUUUGCGUGCAUAAAGGUAAAGCUUAACGCCAUUUCACCUUCACAAGUUGUAUAACCGUCUCCUUUGAAUUGCACACCAUCAACCAAGGGGCAUUCACAUACUCGCCCACGGAAUGUAUCCUGGCAGAUAUUUAACAUUGUAAGAACAUAGGAAUUAUAAAAUCAGCAUCACCGUGUUAUUAGAAAGUCUAUUUUCAUGAAGAUAAAUACCUUGCAUGCAGUGAUAUUAGCUGCUUUAUCCUGCCAACAACCACCGUUGUUUGUCAAGCACUCAUUUGUUUCCACAUCUGCACAGGAAAUCAGAAGAAUGAGGUCUAAAAACAAGUCUACAUCGCAUAUUUCCCUUGUACCAAAGGUAAGUAAACACUUACCAUUGCUCAAACAAACAGCUGGGUCAGUAGUUUCCUCAAAUCCAGAACAAAUAGCCUUUAAAACGGCACCUUUCUCCAGUUUACCACGAUAUUGUCUGUUAUUGACAACAAGAGUAGGCAAUAUGGUAACAUCACCGCGUGAUCCCUUCCCAAUCUACAAAACCAGUUUCAUAAAAAAAUCUACACAUAAAUAUAAUGUUACAAAGAAUUAAAUGAUAGCAUAAACUAAAAGCAAUUAUAAAGGAAGUUACUUGGGCAUCUUGCUCUUCUUUCAAAAAUGGAAUUUUCAGUAUCGGCAUCAGGAUCUCCCAUGCACUUGUCAAUCUUUGCGAUGUCAAGACCUGCAGAUAAAUAUAAUAAGAAUAUGGACAUUAGGUAUUUAACAAAGUCAUUAUCAACCAACGACUGCAAGAAAACAUAAUAAGCAUGAUGAUUCACCCACCAAGAGAUUUAAUGACGGCAUUCCCACAUUCCUUGUUGUACUUUUUCUCCUUCAUCGGGCAUCUAAUUUGAAAAUCAGUGACAUAGUCCCACCACACCCAAGGCUUUUCAGUUUCUUUUGCCACCUUGAAAACACAUAGCUGCCUCAAAUUUUCAACAACCACGUCUUUCCCAUCAUAGCCUGUGCUGAAGUCCUGCUCAGGAUCCGGAGCGCAAUACCUUCCAUGGUUUAUGCAUUGGGACUUGCACUGUUUACUCAAUGUAAACGCAUGAGGACAGUACCAUGUUAUAUAAUGGGGUGUAAACUGAGUGUAACCUCCUUUCUCUAAGAUCUGCGCUGCACCCUUGAAAUCCUUCAAAAACUCAAUCAACAUAUCACAUUUAACUCCACACUCAUCAUUACUAUUGGUCCACAACUCAUACUCGACACGAUCAUCAGGAUGAGGAACAGCCUCUCUCCAGUCAAGAUUAACAUUGACCAUAUCCCCACCACUAAUGGCAUCCUUCAACUUCUGACCAAAAGUUUUUCCAAUAAGAGCAGAGGGUAUUGUAAUAUUCUCAAUAUAUUUAGCAGAUGAGACAUCCUCUUCGGGUGUGUCCAUAGUAAUCAAGGGCUCCUCAAUAUCAUCGGCAACGAGUACCGCAGAAGCUCCAGCCUUCUGAGCAUUCCAAACCUUCAAAGCAAAGAAACAACCUGCAAAGGAACAAAAGUAAGCACACAGAGUGAAGAUCCAUUUUGAUCUGUCAUAGUCAUUUUAGUCCCAAUUAUAAAAAUAGCAUGGAGUAAUUUGGUAUUAUUAUUUGUGAGAUACUAAAUUGGGCUAAGGGAUGAAAUAUAAUGAUAUCUAGGUUUUGAAGGGAAAGAAUGGAAGCAUGCAAAUAAAAGUAAUGAAUUGUAUAUGUAACUAAAAAAAGGAAAGAAAGUAACUAACUUCCACGAUCAAGGAGAAGGAUGGUAGGAAGAGCACCGGGUUUGGAUUUGAAAGAUGAAGAAUCAUCAAAGUCUUUACAACCCUUAUUGUUAUCUUUAGGAUAAACAACAUUACCAGCCAUGCUACCACCAUAUUGAGGAAUCCCAAAGUUACCAAUCGCACUGUCAUGUUUUCCUUUGAUUUUAUCAGGUGAAGUCACCGACAAGCUGUUCUUCUCUACCACGAAUCUCGCCGUUGACAUCCCAGUCAACAUAAACCCAACUAACAUAAACACUGACAACCGCCACAAAAACUUCAUCUCUGCUGGGUCUCGACUCGAUCGGUUAAUCUCAAAUAUGCUGUGUAAGUGUUAUCUUGCUUGUUUGUUGCUGCAACAACACAACACAACACAACACAACGAAGUCUUUCUUUCUCUGUGAUUGAUCUCUCUCUCUCUCUCUAACUAUCUAUCUGAUCUGAUAAUCGCAUAGACAAAAUAAUUAGGGAGUCUACCGAGGGUUGGGUUGGGUUGUGAUUGUGAGACUUUAGUUCCUUGCUCCUCCACCACGCUAAACUCGUGAUUAACUUUUUUUAUUAUUAUUUUUAUUUGAGAAAACUGGUUACAAACUCAUGCUUUCGCACAGGUUGAAUUACCUUUUUUUUUCGAAAUGAUAUUUGUAGAACCAUUUUCUAAUAAUUUUUUGACAACUUCUCUUUCAUACUCACUUUAUCUUCUUAUUCUCUCUCUUCUUUUUUCUCUCUCUGUUAUUUUUGACCAAUCAAAAGAUAGAAAAUUAAAGUUGGCAUGAAAGUUGUACUAAAGAGUUGUACAUAUAUCACUACUCUUUCGAAAAUUAUUAGCUACGCAUAUUCUACAAAAACAUGUAGUAUUGUAUUUGAAACUAAUGUCAAUAUAAUCUCUUACCAGAAAUUCUGAGUUGAAGUAUAUAACUUGAUGUCAAUUACCAGCUAUAAUAUUAUGUUUAUACACAUCAACUUGGUUGUAAAUAGAAUAAUACUCAUAUAGUAGUAACAUUAUAAUAACAUACCAAAUUUAAGAUGUGUCCACCAUGAUGGUUAAUUUAGAGUACAAAAUAUGGUUGGAAACUAAACCAAAAUAUUCAGAUUUUGUGAUCAAAACACAAGCUCUACAACACAGAUUUUAAAGUACUCAUGCAUUACGGAUUACGAAAUUACAUUUCCAAAACUACCUGAUCAUCUUCAAUUCCAAAACUAACCACUACCUCCUGUUGUUUACUGGAUGCGAAUAUGCUUGACAUACAUUUUGGUCAGUGGAUCCUCCAAAUCAAAUAUCAAUAAGUCAUUCACCUGUAAGCUGCGGUCUAUGACGAAGUCAAACCAUUCACCACCCAAAUUUUUCUCAGCAUUCCUCCUGUCAGCAGUCCUAACCUUGCAAUUAUAUGUAUUAUGUGUAUCCACAUCUUCCAAAUUCAUCCUUAGAUAUUUGCUCUUCAAGACCCUUUUGGAUAUUUGAUUAGGAAAAUGCUACAUAAAAUCAAAAAUCAAACUGUUAACUUAGAUAGAAUGCUUCAGCACAAUUUUUUGGAGGAAAUAUUUAUCCGUGUGUUAUUUGUUACUUUUAACAGAUGGAAAUUUUUAUUUGAUAAUAGAAGAUGAUAUUAGAUUUAUAAAAAGUAGAUUUUUGCAUACCAAAGCUUGGGGCCUCUCAAUGGAAGGCAAAGCUAUUGUGACAUUCUUCUCAAAAGUGAUGAUGAUCCACGCCGCCAGCUUCUUCCACGUUGUCGACAACACCUGCAUUCGCUUGAAUUUCAUUUCGAACUCCUACUUCAUCCUCAUUGUUUAUUUGUUCAAUCUCAGCUUCAUCGUCCGAGAUAAUCUCAAUAGGUUCCUACUUAACUUACAUGGGGAAAACAUUUGGAAUGUGAAUUGCUCCUAGUUGUGUCAACUUAUAUAUAUUCUUCACGCCCUCGUAGUCGAGCCUAAUCUUUGUUGGAACUAAAAACCCAAACUCCUUAGCAAUUCUGAUUCCACUACCCAUAUUGAUCCCCAUCUCAUCCCUGCCAAAAUGUGUAACAUAAUCUAUCGCUUCAUCAGAAAGAAGCAAUCCAGGAGCAUUGAUCUUGAUCUCUCUGCGAUGUUCGUUGUAGUACUGGUUUCGAAUACGGACCCUACCUUACAUUGACAUAAAAAAUACACUGUUCAGCAUAAUUUAAAUAAUUUAUGCAAUCCUGUACUUUUAUUACUUCAAUAUGGAUGUUACCUGGUAUGGCCAAACAAUAGUUUCAAGAAUUUUUCCUCGUACAGCUUGUUUAGAGAACCAUCUAUAUUGUAACAAAAAACUAUAAAUAAUUUGGUUGAUUCUUAAAAAAAAAAAAUUGUCAUAAACAUAUUGGAAUGUAAUUUAUAACAUUGGUAUUCUAAAAGUUGUACUAAAAAAGAUAGAUUAUAUUCAGUAAUCUAAUUUAUUUCAAGCUAACUUUAUAUAAAUUAUCACGGGUUCAAUAACGUAUUCGAUAAAAAAAUUAUUCGAAAGAAAAUAUGUUAAAACGACGGAACAUUGUGAUUCAUCAUAAAAUAUGUAUGAGCUGAUUAAGAGAUCAUAUAAUCAGUUUAUGAGAUUAGGAAUUGACAUAAUAUUUAGGAUGAAAACAAUUGGAACCAAAAGGAACCAAUGAUGUGUGAAUUAUGAUUACAUAUUAUCCAAAAUUAUAAAAAAGAGUGUUGUUGUUGUAGAGUUACCAAAAAAGGAUUGAUACCCAUAUUUACAUCAGAUGAAAUCAAGCAAAGAAGUAGCAUCGAGAUCAAAGAUGAGCUUACCACCUUCUUCCAUCACACGUUCUCUGCAGAAAUUGAACCACUGCCCUCCCAAAUAUUUUUCAUAGCUUUCUCUUUCGUCGGUAAUAUCAAUUAAGUACUUACUAAAAUAAAUACUUUUUUUGAAUUCAUAAAAUUGAAUGGAAUGAGCUUUGGCCAAAAGUUAUUGAAUGUUACUUUAUAAAACUACUUCUUGACAAUUUAUUUCACAAACCUCUUUUCAACUCACGUUGGGAACCUUUUCUUUUAUUUUUAAUAUUAUAUUUCAAUAUGUUUUUUCUUCCAUUUAACUUAAUUUUAUUUAAUUUUUUGAACCGUUCCAUCUAAUUUUUUAAGGAGGUUCCUUUAAUUUUAUUAUCUUUUUUUCAAAGGAAUUUUAUCAUCUUUUUAUCACUUAUAUAUUUAGUUUCAAUAUCGUUUAAUCAUCACAACAUCACAAAUAUUUUUAUUCACGCGGUCAUUUAAUGAUACCAAAUAUUUUUAUUUCCUUUCUUCAACCUCGCGAACACACACACACAUUAACGUUUAGAGUAAUAUUUAAUGUCCAUUUGUCUGUUUUUUUGUUACGCUAAUGCAUAUAAUUUUUUUUAGUGUUGCUUGGUUGAAUGCUACCUCACCGAUUUUUUUUUAACUACUUUCCAAUUUUUAUAGUUUUAAAUUUUUUUAACUAUUUUCCAAAUUUUUUAUUUUAACUAUUUUCCAAUUUUUUCUCCCAAUUUCAGUUGCUUCUGCACUGUCGUUGUGGGAGAUUAAGAUAUCGAUUGACCCGAGGUUUUUUUCAACUUCUCUGCAUUUUUAAGGAGAAGUUAAGCCAAAUUAAAUAUCAAUUAAGUACUUACUAAAAAAGAUACUUUUUUUAAUGCAUAAAAUUGAAUGGAAUGAGCUUUGGCCAAAAGUUGUUGAAUGAUACUUCAAAAAACUACUUCUCGACAAUUUAUUUCACAAGCAUCUCUAUUCAAUUCACGCUGGGAACCUUUCUUUUAUUUUUUAAUAUUAUAUUUCAAUAUGUUUUUUUUCUUCCAUUUAAUUUUUUUUUGAACCGUUCCAUUUUUUUUUUAAGUAGGUUCCACUUAAUUUUAUUACCUUUUUUUCAAAGGAAUUUUAUUAUCUUUUUAUCAUUUAUAUAUUAGCUUCUUUCAAUAUCAGAAUGAACAAAGGGAAUAAAAUUAAAUGAUGUAUUAUUGUAUUUCUAUAUAGGACUUUCAAUGUCAAGCGAUUAUGACUACAUUAUUGAUCUCAAAAAUGAUUUGGACAUUUGGAAAAUAAGAUUUGGAGUGCUGGAUUCUUGGAUUGUGACUUGUAGUAAUGAGAAUCAACAUAUGAAGCUCAUUAUUUGUGAUGCAAAUGUUAAAUGAGUUAGUUAAGAGUUAGUUAAGAUUUGUUGUAAUUUCCUUUAUGAUUUAUCAAUGUUACUUAUUAGUGUACAUUUUGAUUUAUUUAUAUUUUUUGGUUUCUUUCUCAGGUUUAGGGUGAUCGAGUUCAUGUAAUAACUCGAUAUAGAGAAUUGGAGCAUUGGAAGGCUUUGAUUGAGGAAAACAAGACUUAUACUUUGUAUAAUUGUCAUGUGUUUGAUAAUGACAUUGCGUUUAAUUCCUUUAAGGUUGUUUUUAGUUUUGGUACAAAGAUGCAGAAGUAUGACAGGUUAACAAACGUUCUUACUCAUGAAUUUCGCUUUAAGUCAUUUAAGAAAAUUCAAGAUGGAAAAUUUAAAACUGACCUUUUAUAUGGUAUAGUUAUGUUCUUUAAUUUAUUUCUGUGUUUUCUCCGAUUAUAUUGUUCUUAUAGAUGUAAUUUUUUUUUUUAAGAAAUCAUCGGGCUUCUUCAUGAGAUUGUCAUGACACUGCCAAUUGGGACUAGAAAGAAACCUUGUACGAACAUUGUUUUGAAAGAUAAAAGGUAUUAUUUUCUAAUUUUUCAGGAUCAGAUGAUAUAAUUUUAUAUAAGUUUGAUAAUGACCUGAAAGAUGUAUUUACUUAUGCAGUGGGAAUAUGGUUGAUGUAACAUUAUGGAAAAAAUACUUCGUGGCUUUAUCAUUUACCAUCUAUAUACAUUGAGUUCUUUGCUUCCAUUUUGUAGUCAAUGGCAACCAAAUAUAUGUAACAAUUGGUCAGGUUCGAGGCUGGUCAUCAACCUACAUCAUCCGAUUGUUGAGAAGUUUAAAACUUGGUAAGUUUGCAUUAUGAUUUCAAAAUAUAGUGUUAGAGGAACUUAUUAUUUCACAAUCUGAUUUGAUUGUUGUUUGACCAUGUUUCUUGAAUUGUUGUCGUGACCUUAACACUUCUCAAGCUCAGAGUCAAAGCUUCAGUCAGAACUUAAGUCAGAGUUCGGUUUCUUCUCAACGUACUUUGUACAACGAUUUUUCCAAUUUGUCUCAAGUUAGACCAAUUAUUGAAUUUAUAAACUUAGUCAAGGUUUACUUUUUUUAUGCACAAACAUGCUUUGACUUUUUUUACGCAUAAAAUAAGAAUACAUAUUGCAUUAUUCUUUAUUUCUUGUGUAUAAUUUGUGUUAAGAAACAUAUUGCAUCACUAUUUGCAAAACAACUAAAUUCAAUCAUAACCAGUUUGGAUGGUAUUAUGAGAGUUGCAUCAAAUGUUCGAAGACAUCAAUGUAAAAUGGUGCUAGCUAUAGAUGCACAUGCGGGAGCGAUGCUUAAUUUUUGUUUGUUUCAACAAUGUUAAUUGGCCAACGGGAUACAUAUAAUCUACAUGCAUGCAUUUACCUAGACUUUAUAGGAAGCUAAUAGGAAGAUAAAUUAGAAGUCAUUGUAUAUUUUCUUUAGUUUAAAAUCAGUUAUGCUACCUUUAUUUUAUAAAUUAUAUGUAACUAUAUUCACAUAUAUCUUAUCCAUGUUAAUAUGCAUUAGACUAAUAUUGUAGUUAUUUCUCUGUUUAGCAUUUCCCAAACGAGGUGUCAAGAACAAUUCUGAAAGAAAAGCGUAAAACAAGCACUCUCAUUGAUGACCAGACACAGAGAAAGUAUAAGUGUCGCCUCAUUACCGCCGAAAGAGCAAGCUAUGAAAAAUAUUUGGGUGGCCAGUGGUUCAAUUUCAGCAGAGAACAUGUGAUGGAAGAAGGUGGUAAGCUCAUCUUUGUUGCUGAACUAUUUGAACUUCUACAAUUUUGGCGUAUCGCUUUGGACUGUAAUCGUAAACUAUCUUGACUUUGGGAUGUCAUUUGUUCCUUUCAUUUUGUCUGAUGUAAAUAUUGGAAAAAAUUCCUUUUUGGUUAGUCUAUGACGGAGUCUCUUUUAUAAAUCUAACUAUUAUGUAAUGUUAAUAUGCACAUUGUUGGUUCCUUCAUUGGUUCUAAUUAGUAUAAUGUUAAUUAUAAUGUUGUUUUCCUAAUCUCUUGAACAAAAUGAGAUUUGUGCAAUAUGCUUGCUUGAUUUUCACAUUUAUGAACGGCAUCAAUUUCUUAGAAAGAUGCAGCUAUUUCCCUUAAUUUGCUCAUUUCUCCUUUAUAACAAAGUUUUUUAAAAAUAUUGUAAAAGUGAUUUAUUUAGAAUAUCCAAGUUUGUGCAAUAUUCAUUAAUUUGCUCAUUUUUCCUUUGGAACAAUUUUUUUUACAAAAUACACGAGUUUAUAACUAGUUUAUUAUUUAAAUAGAUAAAGACCUCCCUUUGUAUUUCACACCGUUAGUCUCUGUUAAAUAACUCUUGCCCAUCUCUUCUUCCACUGUUGCUAAUGUACUCAUGAAAAUUUAUUUUAAUUAUGCAUCUUUUAUAAGGAAAAUACUUGAGUGACAUAGAGUUGGGUGACAUUGGUGACAUUGGCCAAUCACAAUGCCACAAUGCUUGUAUUUCUUUCUCUUUCACAAACAUUGUGACAUUGUGAUUGAUCAAUGUCACCAAUGUCACCCAACUCUAUAUCACCCAAGUGCUACCCCUUUUAUAAUUUGUAUUUAAUUUGUUGGCUGAUAAUUAUUGUCCUUUAUUUGGUUUACACCUUAUCAAAGUUUUCUGUAGAAUACGAAGAGAUACAAUUCAUCUAUCUCAGCCCAAAAUUCUGCAAAACCAUCAACAUCAAAACGAAAAAAAAAAAAAAAAGAAUUUAUUCCACUUUCAAAAUUAUAUCAGUGUUAAAGGGGAUAUAUAGGAAAGUUGGACAGAACCUUCAAAUCAUUGGUGAACAAAGGUUUUUUUUUUUAAGAGGCUGAGAUAAAGAAUUGGUUUGAUUGUGAUUUCUAGCAAUUUGAGUGGUAGUUUUAGGAUUGAACCGGUUAGUUUAUUGAAACCCAUCAACUCUGCAAUGUUUAUGAGAUAAUUCAUGGUGUUUGGGAGAGACAGAGAUGGGGAAUUGUAUGAAAAUAUUUGAGGGAUUUUAGUGUAGUUAUGGAAAAGAAUCGAACCGAUAAAGAAUUGGAUUGGAGGGUCAAGAUUUCGAGGUUGAGAGGGAAGAGGUUGAAAAGGGGAUCAAAUAAUAUAUACAUCCUCCUGUCAUUAAUAUAAACAAAAGUUUGAUUUUUACAUUCAUUCAUUAAAUGACGUAUGAGAAAUAUAUACACCCUCCAAUCACUACAUACGUCAUUUAAUGAAUGAAUCUAAAAAUCAAACUUUUGUUUAUAUUAGUAACCGGAGGGUGUAUACAAGAGAAAUGCUCAAACGCACGACAUUAUUUGUCUCAUUUUUGCACGAAAAAGUGUAUACUUAUUAGGGUUAAAUAUAUUUUUGGUUCCUAUAAAUAUACCAAAUUGUUGUUUUAGUCACUCUAAAAUUUUCCUUCAAAUUUUAGUCCCUAUAAAAUUUUCAAUCACUACUUUUGGUCCAUAUUUUUAAGUAAAUUUUUGUAUUUUUUAAUGAAAUUGUGCAGAAAUGUAUGGAAUAUUGCAAAAAUCAUCCCCCAAAAAAAAAAAAUUUUUUUUACAAAAUAUGAAUUAAAUAUGAAUUUUUUACCGCAAAAAAUAUAAAAAUUCAUAUUUAAUUCAUGUUUUGGUAAAAAAUUCUAAAUUUUUUUGGGAGAGGUCCUUAUAAUAUUAUAAAUUUUUCUGCAAAAUUUUAUUUAAAAAUAUAAAUUUUAAAUUUUAGUUCUUUAUCUUAAUUUUAAUUUAACACAAAGUGACAAACUUUGCCUCUCCGAAAUAUAUCUUAUGAAAAAUCACAAAAAUACCUGAUUGGUGGUAAAACGGUGGAUCAUGCAUGUGCUUUCUUUGGUAACACGACUUUUUAAUACAUAUUUUAUACAGAAGCAUCAAUAAACUAGCAUGAAAUCCAUUAAGCUUUCUUUGGUAACAUUACCAAAAUAAAUUGCAUGUUGUAUAGCUUGUCGUGUGAUUUCGUGUGUUAAUUCUAUCGGGUUGAAUAUAUAAAGUAAUAUUUUUUAUGUCACGUGUCACUUUUACGUUUAUUAGUAAUAUUUCUAUUAUUUUUCUAUUUUUUAAAAUUAAUAUUUGAAUUGACGUAAAUAUUUCAACAAACUUUUGAUCUUAUCUAUUAAAUAUUUUACUUGACUUUUUUAUUGAAUUCCUAAUAUUUUAUGUAACAGUAAUAUCUCAACAAAUUACAUACGAUACACUUCAACUAUAAAUCAUCAAUCAAUCAAUCAAUCAAUAGUAUAUUGUAUAUAUAUAUAUAUAUAUAAAGUAAGGUUUUUUAUGCCACGUGUCACUUUCACGUUAAUUCGCAAUAUUUUUAUUAUUUUUUAAAAUCAAUAUGUGAAUUGGCAUAAAUAUCUCAACAAACUUUUGAUCUUAUCUAUUCAAUAUUUUAAGGUUAAUAUGUUUUUACCCCCUCUAAUUUAGGCGAGUUCCAGUUUAUCUACUGUAAAAAUAAAUAAAUAGAUUCCAACCAUGUAAUUUAAGAUUCUUUCGUUUUAGACCCUGAGGUUAUAUGACUGAACAAAAUGCUGACGUGCCAUGAUGAGUGGCACGAUGACUGUGCAUAUCUGAUUAUGUGGCACGCUGAGUGUAUAAUUAAUUUUGUUUUAUUUUUUAUUUUUGAAGGGCACACGUGGCAUUUUGGCUAUUUUUAAAAUAAAAAAUAAUAUAAAUGAAAUUAUAUUAAAUUAAAAAUAAAAAAUAACUUAAAAAAUCUGAAAAUGAAUUUUCAAAAAUAAACAAAAUAGUAAAAAACAAUAUAUUUUCGAAAAAAGACCGAAUUUUCUAGAAAAAAUAAAACAUUUUGGAAUUUAAUUUUUAAAAUUAAAAAAAAACAAAAUUUAGAAGAAGAAAAAUUUGAAAUUAAAAAAAAUUAAGAUUUUUUUUCAAAAUAAAUAAAUUUUUAAAAAAAAUUCUGGAAUUAUUUUUUUAAAAAUCUGAAUAUACUUUUUUUAUAAUUCCGAUUAAAAUAAGAAAUAAAAUUUUGAAAAUUAUAUAAUCUGCAGAAAAAAAUCGAUUUUAUUUUAAAUUUCAAAAUCUUAAUUUCAAACUUUUUUUUUGAAAAUAAAUUUGAAUUAGUUUAUGAUUUUUUGAAUUUUUUAAAUAUCAGAAAAAAAUCUUUUUUUUUUUCUUUCUGAUUUUUUCAAAUUUAAAAGGCUAAAAUAUGGUUUUAGUCCCUGCAAAUAUGCCUCGUUUUGAUUUUAGUCCAUGUAAAUUUUUUUGUUUUGUUUUUGGUCCUUCCAAAAUUUUUUGUUUUUGAAAGUAGUCCCUCGAGGGACUAUUUUCAAAAACAAAAAAUUUUGCAAGGACCUUUUUUAAAAACAAAAUAUUUUGCAGGGACCAAAAACUAUAAAAUUGGUUCAGUUAUAAUGUGUCACGUAUGCAAAUCAUCACAAAAGUGGGGUCAGGGACUAUUUUCAAAAAAAAAAAUCUGCAGGGACCAAAAACAAUUUUUUUUUACAGGGACUAAAAUCAUAUUUGUUUUCUUUUUUUCAACAUUUUUUUCUAUUUUUAAAUUUAAUUUUCUGUUUUUUUUUUAUUUUUAAAUUAAUAUAAAUUAAUAUUCAGUCAGCGCACCACAUCAUCCAAAAAUGUUGACUCAUUGUGCCACGUCAUCAUGUUUGCACAGUCAGAUGACAUCAGGGUCUAAAACGAAAGAAUCUUCAAAUUACAGGGUUGAGAUCUAAACUUUUUUUUACAGGGGGUAAACCGAAACUCGCACAAAUUACAGGGGGUAAAGACAUUAACCCAAUAUUUUACUUGAUUUUUUUACUGAAUUCCUAAUAUUUUAUGUAACAGAAAUAUCUCAACAAAUUACAUACGAUACCCUUCAACUAUAAAUCAUCAAUCACGUUUAUUUGCAAUAUUUUUAUUAUUUUUCUAUUUUUUAAAAUCAAUAUUUGAAUUGGCUUAAAUAUCUCAACAAACUUUUGAUCUUAUCUAUUAAAUAUUUUACUUGACUUUUUUUAUUGAAUUCCUAAUAUUUUAUUCUAUUAAAAGUUGAUUUUAUCUAUAUGUGUUAAUACUUUUUCUAAAUCCAAUUAAUUUUAUCAGUAUGCAUCUAUAAAUUUACGAGUAUUUAUAAUAUGAUAUAUUUUAUUAUUUUUGGGUGUAUUUAUUAAGAUAUUCAUCCUAUACCAAUCUGUGAUAAAUUUUAUUUGCGGAUUUCAUACAUAUAAUUUUUUUAUCUUCUUGAAUAUGUCUAGGCAACGCCGGGUAAAUACACUAGUCAUAAUACAAAGAACGCAGGGAAGAGUGAAAUUGGAGAAGUUAUCUAAAAGAGAGAGACUAACGAUAUUAAAUGAAAAGGGCAGUAAGUGUUUAAUUAAAAACUAGAGGGGGUGUUAGUGUCAUUUAAGAAUACCUGAAGGGAGGUGAGUGUAAUUUACCUUUUUUAUUUUAUUUAAGUAAUUACUGUAACGCCCUCUUUGCAUUAUUUGUUUUAUUUAUUUAUUUAUUUAUUUGAGUUUAGAGUCUGUUCUUCUAGAAUUUAAUUAACUUAUUUGAUAAGUGAUAUUUUGUUAUGUGUUGAUAUAUAUAUAUAUAUAUAUAUAUAUAUAUAUAUAUAUAUAUAUAUAUAUAUAUAUAUAUAUUAGUAGCCUAUAUUUGUUUAUUUAAUUAUUUUAAUGAGAUAGAGUCGAAUUAUAUGAUUUAUUUGAUUAUGUGGUAUGUUUAUAUUUUAUUAAGUGGUUUUAUUUUAUUAUUUAUUAGAAUAUGAUUAAAUAAUAGAAUAAGUAGACUUGGGGGGCUGAAUUAGAAAUUAAAGAAGUUUAGUGGGAUUAAGUAGAAUUAAGAGAAGUGGUUAAUGAUAUAAAAGAGGAGAAAUUAGGUUAGAAUAGUUUUUACGUGAAAACAAUGAUUUGGGAGAAAACAAAGAGAAGAGAAGAGUCAGAGAAUGAGAAGUCUCUACAACUUUGUUGUCAAUCAAUCUAAGGUAAGAGUGAGACUAACAUUCAAUAAUCUUUAGUCUAUGAUUCUGAAAAUUGUAUUUAAUAUGUUGUAGGUUUAGUUUUUGAGAAUUAGGGUUAAGAGUGAUGAUUGUGAUGAUUUUGAAUGAAAGUGAAGUUGAAUAAUAUAAGUUGCUUUUUCUGAUUUUUCUUUUCAUCUCUGUCCCGAAUUUGAAAUGAAAUCUGGUAUUGAUAAGUCCGGAAUAGGUCUUAGGUGUAACCAUGAAAGUUGUAGGUAUGAAUGUUAGCUUUCUAAUGUCGUUGAUCUGACAUCAAAACGAUUUAUAGAACUUGAGUUAUGGUCAAAUUACUGCACGUAGGUCACAGUGAAUUUUUAUGAAUUUCAGCACAACUUUGUCCGAAUUUGAAAUGAAAACUGAUAUUGAUUGGUACAGAAUUGGUCUUAGGUGUAUACACAAAAGUUGUAGGUAUGGAUGUUAGCUUUCUAAUGACGUUGGUCUGACGUCAAAACAAUUUAUAGAACUUGAGUUAUGGUCAAAUUACUGCACGUAGGUCACACUGAAUUUACAAAUCUUCUUGGCUUUUAAUAUGACGAGAAAUUCAACUCUUAAAUAUGAGAUGGGUUCUACCAUUCUACCAUUCUACCUAUUGCAUUUCAAAUUUGAUUAUGCUACAUACAAAAUAAAUACUCAAAGGAGAAUAUUGAUCAUUGGAGUAAUUAUCAUUUUGGUCUUUGAAUGUGUAAGAAUUUACCACAAUAGUCUUACAAUGUAUCGAAAUUUAAAAAAAUUAAAUAAAUUGGUUGUGCAUUACGCGUUAAAAUAAUUUCUUACAUUAAAAUAUUUCAUUAAUAUUGUCGUAUUAGAUCUUCAAUAUACUUAUUUACUUACUGUUGUUUCAGUCUCUGCAGAGUUAAUAUCAACGAUUAACGAUCAUUUUAACGUCAAAAGCUAAUUUAAUUAAGAAAGUGCACAAUCAAAACUUAUUUUAAAAUUUCAAUGCAUUAAAAGAUUAUUAUAACUAUUCGUUAUGAAUUGAUAACUAAGAUGACUCUUACCCAUUGAUUGAUGAUUAGUUUUUCAAAUUUCAGAAAAGCUCAUGUGAAGAUGAAAAUGCAUAUGAUUUAUAGAAAAAGUUGCAGGACUUGACUACCCGUGUGUUUUUUUUGUUUAUUGCUUGAUUUCUGAAACAAUGAAUUGUACAUUUGUAUGCUUUUUGCAAGUUGCUAUGAGUUGUUGCCCUUCAAUAUUAGGCAGAGGCACAAAUCUGUGGGUUGUGGCCGUCUGAGAAAAACUCAGUCAAAGUCAAAUCAUCUAUAGGCUAUAAUAUUUAUAAUUGAAUUACUCAUAAAGAAACAAAUAGCCGGCAUGCUUUCAAUUUUUUUGAUGGAUAAAAAAUUGUUGAGUGAUAGUUUAGAUUCAUUAUUCUAAUUAGGCUUAUUGAUGUGUUUAGCCCUUGCAAUUAGGCGGCAUUUAAAAAUUCGUCCCUGUAAUUGCUAAUCCUGGUAUUUUAACCCUGCAAUUGUUAAUCGUUUAAAAUUUGGUCCUUGGACCAAAUUAAUCACUGCCACAUCACUAAUUUGAUGACGUGGCAAUCACUGUCACACAUGAAAUUACAAUUUUGCCCUCAAGAAGAGGACAAAAUAUUGAAGAAAGAAUUGAAAACCCAGGGGUAAAUUUCGAAUUUCAUGUGGCGUGGCAGUGAUUAAGUGGGGAGAGGGACGAAAUUUUAAAUGAUUAACAAUUGCAGGGUUAAAAUGCCAGGAUUAGCAAUUACAGGGACGAAUUUUUAAAUGUCGCCUAAUUACAAGGGCUAAACACAUCAAUAAACCUUCUAAUUAAUUUGGUGGUAAAGGAUGUGUGAUAAAAAGUGAAAAACUAAAAAAAGACGGAACAAAAAACCUGUUAAUUUGCACAAAAAAGAGAAAAGUAUUAGGAGGGCGUGUUUGUCGUUUUCAAUAUUAGCCGUCAUUUAAUACCAACAGUUGAAUGAAUUCUGUGAGCUGGGUGAUGUAUAAAUAUGCAGUCCAACGUUAGAUCCUCAACCAACACAUUCAACAACCAAACUUCACAAAUUGAAAGCUUUUAAAAUCAAUUUGGAAUAACUAAGAAGACUGUGAUCAUUUAUUGAAGAGAUAGCAAUGGAAGGUUUGAUUCCAUAUAUCAUUGGCGCAAUCAGUAGAAAGCAAAAGUUUGAGCACAUUAACACCUUAUUACAACAUUCAGAUAGCUCAAAGUGUUUGCUAUUGGGACCUGAUAAUGGUUCCUUUCGCAGAAGAACUCGCGAAUCUGAUCAUCAUUUCCAGCCCCUCGUCUCUAAAAACAACACUGCUGCUCAUGUCACUGCCAACAACAACCUUCGCAAUCGCAGGCACUAGCAUAUAUAAUUAUCAUGAGGACUAAUAAUAAGUAAAAAUCAAUUCAUUGUUUCAUUCAUUAUGGUGGUGGGUGACUAUCAUAUUUAACUGUAUAUUCUAUAUGUAUAAUUCUUUUUUUCUUGCCCAGUUGCUUGAGGAUCAUUUAAUCAAUAUCUUUAAGGGAUUUGAAUAGAAAAAAUAUUUUUAGUGAUAACAAAACUUUUCUCAAAAUAUUUGAUUUUGAUUUCUUGGUUCCAGAAGUUCUCCAUGGUGAUUGCAACUCUAUAGUGAUUCCUUUUUUUAUUUAUUUUUUUCAAUCUCACUUCUAGUACCGGUCUUAUUGUACACUCUGUUAUUGAUAGUUAGUGAAGAUGAUAUUGAUGAGAUUGUGUUCAGAAACAUGUCAUUAUGACUACUUAUGUUCUUCUCGGUUGUGAUUUGUUAGUCUCCAUUCAAACAAUCAUAGUCGGUGUAAUUUUUCUUUAAAAUUAAAAAUGAUUAAAAGUUUGAAACUCUAAUUAGGGACUUCAUUCUUAAAUGUAGAAGAGUAUUUUUGCAUUUUUAUUUUAAAGAGAAACCAUGCAUGUUGGCUUAUGAGAGUUAGUUGCCACCUCAAAAAUUGAUGAAACAUAAUACAUUAGCAUAAAAUUUAAGAGGAAAUUGGAAGGGGCUACAAAAUUAUAAAGAGAAGCUAAAAAAACAAAGGGACAAAAUCACACCAUGUGCCAAAAGUAGAAUUAAGCAUACUUUAAAUGAAGUGCAAAGCCAAGCCAAUAUAUAUCCCACAUAGUAUCAGAUUUAGGUGUGUUACACGGGACAAAUUAGGCAUUAAAAAAUAGCAUCAUUGUAAAUGCAUGGCCAUGGAUGAUGAGAUUAAUGCUUUCACUGACUCACACAUGGGAUGGGAGUGGGGGGAUCUUGACCCAGAGAUGUUUUGUUACAACUGCUCCUCACCAAGCUAUGCUAUAUCUAUAUAUAUUGGAUCGACCAGAGUAGAAUCAUAUUCAUAUUCAUAUUCAUAUUCAUAUACAUGUAAUGCAAUUUAAUUAUACAAGUGUAAUGCCUAAGACAGUACUCACUGUCCUUCUCAUCAUCUCAUUCUCAACCACACUCGUUUGCUAGUCCAUUCCCGAUACAUAGCAUCUACCUCUCCUUCACCAGCACCAGUUCCAGUUGCGUAAUUCGCAUUUAUACUAUUUUUCCUACCAAACUUCUAUUUUCAAAUAUAACUUCUAUUUUUCUAAAUUUUCAGGAGGGGGAAGCCAUAUGAAGAAGGAAGCAUAGCAAAUGAAAGAAGGUGGAGGUCAUUUCCAGCUACGUCGUGUGAGUCAAAGUGCAACCAAUGCAGGCCUUGUGUGCCAGUUGAGGUUUCAAUCACAACAAUAUCGGAAUACUAUCCCAUAGCUUGGAAGUGUAUGUGCCACAGUAACUUAUUUUCACCUUAGUUAGUUAAUUAGUCCAACACUAAUUCAUCCAAUUUUAAAGUUGCUUUGCUUGCACUGCAAGAACAAUUUAUUGUAAAACCUACCGAAGUCUUAUCCAUGUUGUUGUGCGCAAGUGUGAGUUAUAUGUCCCACAUCGGAUAAAACAGUAAAGGUUGAACACCUUAUAAGUAAGAUGACCCAUAAACUCAUAGCCUUAAGGUUUUGUGUAAGAGUGUGGCGUCUCUAUUGCUUGUACGGUUGUUCUAGCAUCGAUGUGGACAGUCCCCCGGAGCUCCCCUCAUGACCCCAACAGUGGUAUCAGAGCCUCGUUCGACGAAGGGUGCGAUCAAGGCAGCCGGUCCAACUCUCCUCCAUCUAAAUGUCUUCAAAAUGGCAUUUUCUUUUGACCCUAUUUUUUUUCCUCCUUUUCAUUGAGGAAAGACAUAAAAAUUUCGGGGUAGUAAACGUUCUCAAGAAUUUCGCUUAAAUUCGAACCCAUAGCUGAUGAUAGAACUAGAAUAGAUAUUUUCUGUUUCCUACUUACACGAGCCCAUAUCCUUGCUUUUCUAUCAAUUUCUAACUCUAAUCUUCCCCCCCAAUCUGACAUUAUUGUGCCGGUAUAGACUGAAAUUCCGUUAUGGUCCAACUCUGAACGAUAAUAGAUACCAGGGCUUUGCAAUAUUUGAUUGAUUACAAUUCUGUAUAUUCCAUUUACUAUAGAAGUUCCCAGAGCAUUCAUUAGAGGAAUGUUUCCAAUAAAAAUAAUUUGUUUUUGGUAUAUCCCUACUGUUUUUCCAAAUUAAUGCCGCGGAUAUAUAUAAUUCAGAGGAAUAUGUAAGUGAUUCAUAUACAACAUCUUUUUCUUUUAUCGAGGGUUCUACCAAUUGAUAUGUUUCCACAAACAACUGAAAUUCAAUUUCUUGAUCCAUAUCUUCAAUUUUUGGAAACUUAAAAAAUUCUUCUGUUAAGCCCCGAUCAAUGAAUCUACAAAACCCUUCAAAUUGUAUUUGAUUCAAUCCGGGUAGUGUAGACAUUCCUUCAUUCCCAACCCCAAGCAUUUUCAAUUUCCCCAUUUAUUUUAUAGAAAAUAUCCCGUGAUUUGCUGUCAUUCUUCAUUGAAUCACAUGAAUCGAUUUAGCAAUAAUGGAAUUUCUGGUCUUUUUACUUUACUGAAUCACAUGAAAUUUUACCUAACGACGUCUAUGAAAUACCUAUUAUGAAAAUGUCUUUAUGUGGCUUUUGCAAUUACGUUUUCAUUUUUUUUUGGUCUUAAUUACUAUUUUGAUCAAAAUUUUAACUCAUUCAGGAAAUUUGUCAUUCUAUUUUAAUAUCACUCAUAGUUUUGAUUCUUUUAUUAAAUUUUUGUAUUUAAAAAUAAUGAUUUGAUAUAUUUAAAAGACGUGAGUUACGACAUGAUAAUAGGGACUGAUCAACUUUCAAGAAAUUACAAGAAAAUUCGUUAAAAAACUUCAAUUUUUACAAUUUUAUAGUACAAAAAUCGAUUAGAUGGACCAAACUGAAUGAAUUGUAUUACUUUUCAGUUUUGACUAUUACAAUGUAUAUAUUAGAUUCUCAAUCAGCUAUGACUUGUUUUUGUGUACAAGUGUGGGUUAUAUGUCCCACAUCAGAUAAAACAGUAAAGGUUGAAUACCUUAUAAGUAAGAGAAUCCAUUGCCUUAAGAUUUUUGGUAAGAGUGUGGUGUCUCUCUUGCUUGUGUGGCUGUUCAAGUCUCGACGUGAACGGUCCUCCGAACUCCCCUAAUGACCCAACAUGACUAUGGUAUAUGCAUUUUUGUAUUUGGGUUGGAUCAAUAUUUGCUAUGUAAACCAAAAAUCGAUCCCUAAACUUGUUAACCUUUUUCUAUAAAAAAAUAAAUGAAAAUCGAUCCAAUCCAUUAAUAAAACAACAAUUUUGUAAUUUUGUUUUAAGUAUUUUGGAUAGGUGCUUAAGGUUGCGCAUAGGAUCAGAUAUGAACAUUAUAAUUAUCAGAUUUUUUGGCUUAAUUAUUAUCCGGUUCCUUAACUUAAUUUUAUUUCGAAUUGAUCCUCUAACUAUUAAACGUUAUAAAAUGAUCUUUUCUCUUUGUUUUAGCCAUCAAUUUGAUCCUAUUUUAUUAAUUUUAAACCUCUUAGAAAGAAGACUAUUGGAUAAAAGAGGUUUUUUAGAUUUUGAUUUCUCUGAUUUUAGUGUUUUAUUUCAGCGUGGAGAGAAAUUAAACAAUUAUAUGUAUACAAAAAAUUAUACUCCUUCCGUUUUAAAAUGAGUGUCAUUCUCACUUUUCAAUUUACUAUUAAUUACUUAUUUUGAUUAGUACCCUUAAUUAUUAUUAUGCAUACAACUUUCAAAGUAUCAUUUUCUGCUAAUUGUAGAAAAUGCACUAAUAAUUAACAAGACUAUUUUAAUAAAUAUUAUUGCAUUUUUUAAUAUGCAUAUAAUAACUUUAAACAACAUUUAUUUUAAAAUGGAUGUGUAGAUGAGUUGAUCAUUGUUGUUUUGUUUAUUGGACAUUUUGGACGAUUGUCAAAGAUGAAGAAUGCUUUUUUUGCAAGUGGCUAUGAUGAGCUGUUGCACCUAAUAGUCUAAGUCAAAGAUCCAUAAAGCAACAGUCAGAGCUGUCAACCAUGCAUGCAUAUCCAAUUUCCAUUUAAUUUUUUUUAUCAACAAAAUUUACAGUAUUUUACAGGGAAAUCUUUGCAUUCAAUUAAUUACAUUUUACUUUUCAGUUGGUUUCAUUUUCUUCACUCAAAUUAAUGUCCGAAAGACUUUGAUUUCUAUAAAUUUAAACGUAAAUGUAAAAAUAAGUUACUAAUAAUUACUUAUUAUUUGUACAACAUUUUUCUCAAGAUUUAACUAAUGAAAACGUCUAAUAGAGACAUGGUCCAAACAUGGAUCUUAUUAUUAGUGAAAUAUUAUAUACUAUAUUUUUCAUUUAUUUUAAAUUUAUGUUUUGCUAAAAAUAGUAAUCUUUAUACCAUUUUAGAGAUUCAUAUUAUAAUAUGUGCCUAAAUUGAAUUGGAAAGUAAAAAGACAGUUGAUAAAGCUGAAUUCAAUCAUCAGUGUAAAUAUAUUGUCAAGUUGAACAUUUUCACGUGAAAAUAAAAAACUUUACAUAUAUUUCUGUCACUUGAUCUAUAUGCAAAAGACAUAAUAUGCGGUUAAAAAAAGACAUAAAGCAAAAGCCUAGUUUGGACAAAAUAAUUAUUAAUUUUCUUUUUACUAAUAAAUUAUCAUUGAUAUAAUAUUGAAACCACCGGAAAAACGUGCGAGGGGGUCAUUUUGCAUGUUAGCCGUCAAUGAAUACCAACAGCUAGCCGCACUCGCAGUCGCAGCAGUAUAUAAAUAUGCAGUCCAACGUUAGAACCUCAACCAACACAGUCAGCAACCAAGAUUCAUAAAUUGAAAGCUUUCAAUAUCAAUUUGGUGUGAUCAUUUAUUCAAGAGAUAGCAAUGGAAUAUACAUGUUUUGAUGGUGUUCAUCUCUAGAUCUCACAUUGUAUUAUUGUUGUAUUAUACAAGAUGAAUUGGGUUGGUUGUUUUGAAGACAUAAUCAAAAUUCAUUGGAUUGGGUAAAAACCAGUAAUUUUUGUUACUCUCUCCAACUAAUCCAAUAAAAGAUAUUGAAUCGUGUAACAUGAAAAUCUCAUCAUUAAUUUCAACUUAAAAAAGGUUAAAUAUUUACCUAAAAAUAAGCAAAUUAGUCUAACUCAGGCUUAUCUCCCAACAUAAUUAAUCAUCCUUUUCAACUAUACUCAAGGCCACCACUCAAUUAGGGAGAGUGAAAACAUUGGUUAUCAAACAUGUCUAAUAUGAUUCUUGUGACCUAUCUUCAAUGAAAUAUCCAUUAUUAUUUGGUCAUUUGACAUUGUCAAACAACCUAAAAGAAAAAGUUGUGUGUUCUAGUUUAUGUAUGUGAAUUUUUGUCUCAGUUUAUUUAACAUCAUUAACUAUGUAGACUUAAUUUGUUUUAUUUAAUAAAUAGCGGGGGAAUAAAACGGUUAGUAUAUAAAAAGUCAUUCUCUUAUUACUCAUCUGAUACAUAUAUCGAAAAAAAAAUAGGGAACUUUGGAGGAUAAGGGAUAUAGGGAAUUUGAGCUUUCAUGUAAGUGGUUAGUUGUUUGCAUGAUAGGUAAGUGGGCAUUGUUUCUGGGUGGAGUUUAGUGCAUUGCAUAAGAAGGUUCUUUACUUCAAAUUGAGUAUCUUUCUAUGAGAUUUAAGCCUAAGAAUUGUUUUUUCUUCUUGAGCAAGAAAAAAUUACAAGCAUGCGCGUUCAAUUAUUUAUGAGUUGUGCUAUCCGUCGCGAAUGAAAUUCACGCGAAUAUAUCACGAAUAAAAAAAUAAGGACCACGUGUUUUAACUUUUAACCAAAUAAAAAUGAAAACAUGAUUCAUCAUCCUCCAAAAGAAAAAACACCGCAAUACUCAUGGUUGACUUUAAUUGUUAGCAUGAGAAGUACUUAAGUUAUAUCACCUUUUGUUUAAUGGAACCACGAAGCUAUAUCACCUUUAAACUGACUUUUAUUAGCAAUAUUUCAUAUCUUGGUGCCAAAAAAAGCACACUUGUUGUUAAGAUAUGUGUUUUCGCAAAAUUUUGGGUAAGAGAGGGUUCGCUAUAUUUAACAUUUUUCAUUAUCUAGAGUGCAACGAAUUUUAAUGUUCCGAGGAGUUCGGGUAUGCUCUAUUUAGUCUAAAUUUUAUUUAAGAUUUGGAUGUAAGACAUGUGACAAAAAAUAUAUAACGGUUGAGAUUUUAAAUUUAAAAACAAUAAAAGAUUGUUGUAAUAUGAGAGAAGAAGGGAACAUGAUUUGUUUGUUAUUAUUAUGUAUUUUUAUUAAAUAAAUAUUUGUUUUUUAAUUUAAAAAUCUCACCGUUAAAUUUUUCUUUGUCACAUAUCUUGUAUCCAAACCUUAAAUAGAGUAAAGAGAGCUUACCGAACUCUCUUCCGAGAGCAUCACGAUAACAACUUAACCAAUAAAAAUGCACCUUUUGCACAACACACGGAAGUGAAGUCAGUGACAAGUUCCUUUCAAUUUUACACAUUACAAUCAUUCUUUGAAACUGUUUGCGAGAUUUGUUUUCGCUAGAUUUAACAUUUCUCUUAUUUAUUUAUUUUGGUGAUUACCAUGCUUUCAAUUUUUAAUUUAAUUUUGAGUUAUAGAUGAGGUGGCAAGUACCAUUUAGUCUUUAAAAACAUUAAAACUCACAUAUGUAAUUGCAUCUUAAAUUAGAAUUCAAUUUAAGUUGUUUGAUCUAAAUUUUUAAAUAUUAAUCAAUUUUAAAAAAUGAAUACAAAUAAUUAUAAAAAAAGAAAAAGAAAAAUGCAAAUAUAAUUUGAAUAAGGAUAUUAAUCAGAAGUGUUGAUAACCCUCGUAUCAUCCCAUCCUCGGCGGCUGCAAUCGGAAGUAAAAAAGAGAAGAAUGAAAAUCCGAUCGGUAUUCGACGGCGUCGAGUUGCGAACCGAAUUCUCAAAAACUGGUAUCGAUCCAAAGUUCAUUCCAAUUAUAUGGAAGCAUAUCUUUCGAAACAGUAAUUCUGAUUCUGAUUAUUGUAAUUGGGAAUGGGAAAAACACGUUCCUUCUUUACCUUGUUCAGCUUAUUCAUUCCUCCGUUCAAACUUCAAAACUCCUCUCUCUUCUUCUCUUGACUCGAUUUUCCAUUCUUCUGAUAAUGUGACUUCGAAACUUGUCAUCAAGCUUCAAAAUGGUGAAUUUGUUGAAGCUGUUAUUAUGAGAUAUGAUACUCGUUUGGGUAAAUAUGGUGGUGAACCUCGUCCUGGUGGUCUAAGAGCUACUUUAUGUAUUUCUUCUCAGGUUGGAUGCAAAAUGGGUUGUAAAUUCUGUGCAACUGGAAGUAUGGGAUUUAAAAGUAACUUAUCCUCUGGUGAAAUUGUCGAGCAGUUGGUUCAUGCUUCUGCUUUUGCACAUAUCCGUAAUGUUGUCUUCAUGGUAAUUAAAUUCUUUUUCUAUGCCUCUAUUCAUAGUUUCAUAAGACAAUAGUAUUUCAUUUUCUAUUUUCUUAAUAGGGUAUGGGAGAGCCUUUGAACAACUAUUCUGCUGUGGUAGAAUCUGUGCGCAUCAUGUCUGGGUCACCAUUUCAGUUGUCAUUGAAAAGGAUUACCGUCUCAACUGUAAAAUAUCAACUUUUGACCUUGCAUUGUCUUCUAUCAUUUCUGACAUAAUUUAACUUGCAUUAAUUUGUUUUUUUAUUCCAUUAAUUGUGUCUUUUACUUCACGUGUUUUUAGGUUUAACUUUACAAGAUAUACAACAUACUUACUUUGUUUUAGAGUAUUCCAGCCAAAUCAUAUCUUCUUUAUUAAGCAUAUCAAUUACUAUUUGAGUGUAAUCUGAGAAAUUCCCUGAGGCUAAUGCAUAUUAUGUUUAUACCAAGAGUUUGCGACAUUAAGCCCGUUACGAUACAGGUCAUAGGGUGCUUCUAAGAGCUUCUAUAUAACAAAAAUACAUUUUAAAGUUUUUGAAGUGGUGUUUGGUGUAAUUUAAUGUUUUUAGCUUUUGACUUUUAGAGAAUCAUGCAGAAGAGCUUAGGUGGAAGUUUAUUUUAAAAGCUUCUCUAUUCUCAACCUAUGGAACAGCUUCCCGAAGAGCUUACGAUCAAGUAUCAUCCAAACAAAAUUAACUUAUCUAGAAGACCAAAACUAGCUUUUGCAUUAGAACUUCCAGGAAAAAGAUUUCUCAUAUAAGCUUUUCUAUCUAGAUAAGCUUAUCAACGUUAUAAAAAUAUACAUAUAAGUUUAAUAAAACAGAUAUUUGCCUUGUCUGUUAUUAUAUUGUUAAGUAAUUUCUUUUGGAAAAUUUAUGGCUUAUGAAGGGUACAUUUGCAUCUAUAAUAGGUUGGCAUCAUUCAUUCUAUCAACAAGCUUCAUAAUGAUGUGCCUGGUUUGAACUUGGCAGUCUCGCUGCAUGCACCAGCCCAAGACAUCCGUUGCCAGAUAAUGCCUGCUGCCCGUGCUUUCCCUUUGGAAAAACUUAUGGCUUCACUGCAAGAAUAUCAAAGGAAAAGGUAUGUAUUUAUUUUACUUCUGAGUAUACAUAAACUUCAUUUCUUUUUAGUGUUGUGAACAGUUUUAGUGAUUUUGGAGUCUGCGUUAAUUACAGUCUGCAGAAAAUAUUAAUUGAAUACAUAAUGCUUGAUGGUGUGAAUGAUGAAGAGCAGCAUGCCCACCUAUUAGGAAAGCUGCUGGAAACAUUUGAAGUGGUAAAUACUCAAACUUUACUUGAUAGCAAUUAGCAUAUCAGAAAUUCCUGAAGUCUGAAUUUUGAAGUAAUUCUCAAAUUGCAUUUGUUGAUUUCUGAAGCAGACAAAAUUUACUCAGACAUUUCUCUCUAUUUGUCUUAAACAUGAUCACCAUUCCUUGUUGCGCAAUGCUAUUAACCUUUUGCAUAUUGUCUGAAUUGUUAUGCAGGUAGUGAACUUAAUACCUUUCAACUCUAUUGGUACAUUGAGUCAAUUCAAAUCUACUAGUGAGCAGAAAGUGUCUAAGUUUCAGAAAAUUUUAAGGGGUACCUAUAAUAUUCGAACAACAGUCCGGAAGCAGAUGGGUGAGGACAUAAGUGGUGCAUGCGGACAAUUGGUGGUUAACUUACCUGACAAGUCUCUUGGAAAUGCUAACCCCCUAACGGAUAUAGAAGAUCUUGUUAUUUGAUAUAUUCAUAUAAGGUUAAUUCAACUCUUGGGCCGAAUUUUAAAAACUAGUCUCCUUGUUUUAUGUAUUGUUUUGAAGUUGAAAUUUAUAGAAACCAGCUGUAGAAGUUAAGACGCACUUGGUGAAGCGCAACUGCGCAAUGAUAAUCCUUGAUUUGAAUGAUCUUUGGUCCUCCUAAUAGUAUACUACUAGAAACUUCCACAAUCCAUGUCAUUUCAUCAACUCAUAUAUAAUGAUUAAUAUUUUUGUAGUUUUGCUGUUCUAAUUAAUUUUGCAUAACUGCAAACGUGGAUACCUGUUGCAGUUUUACUUAUGAAUUACAUGAUAUUGUUACACAAACAGAAGUUGAAGAAACAGAAUUAUAUACUUAAUUAUAUUGUUUGUGUUGCACAAUUUCACCUGAUAUCCAAUGUGAAACGUUGGUUUAUAACACUAUCCUUUUUUCCUUUGUAAGUGUGUUUCUAGCAGUUUUCAAACUUGAAUGCGUAUAUCAACUGUGACUCAUAACAAUCAAUGAAUGUCGCCCAAUGGCCGACUCGAUGGAUUAAUUAUGUUUUACUCGGCGAUGUUAAGUAUUAAUAGAUAAGUCAAGCAUAACAGUCCAAAAUGUUAUCUGAAGUUCUGCACCGAGUAAUAUUUCUACUAGCUGCAAAGGUCUUAAACCGGUUUGUGUUCAGAGAAGCAGAGGAACAACUCAUCUCUGCUCAAAUCAGCUCAACCAAGCAAAGACAAGCUCAACAUACUUCAUCUGAGUACAUAAUAUUUACCAAAUACAAAUUUCGGCCAGGAAUAUUUAACUAAAAGAUACAUUGUUCUAGAAAUGGUCACGAUCAAGCAAAACGAUUUGAUAGUUUAGGAAAACCGUUGAUACAAGCAUUUCAACUGCUGAUCACUCUGCGCUAAAUGAAGCCAAAGACAAUUCUAAUUUCAAAGCCAAAGGGCAAGUCUAAUUUCAAAUCCUGUCCGCCUAAAUCAGCAGGAACUGAAGCCAGAUAACCUCUGCUGAACGUGACAGUUGUUUCACGCAACAGGAUCUCUUAGCAUGCUGAUGAUGGUGAUAAACUUUGAUAUAAUAAUAAUGAACAGAUUCAUCAUCAUCAUAAUAUGCACCUGAGUUAUACAUGUAAACAUGGGGAAAUGAAAUACUUAGUUGGGCAACUCAUCUCUGAAAUUUCCAGAACAACCUUUAAGAGCUUAUAAAUAUUUUAUGAAGCCAAAAGAGCUUCCCCAGUUUUGCAAUUUGGUCAUCCUCAUUUUGAGGAACGAUGGAACGGCGUCCUUAUCAACGUCUUUAUACAAAUCACGUUGCCACUUCUCAGUUUGAGUUUUACUAGGAAGAUAUCCUUACCUUCCAACAAAUUUAUCUCUUCCCAUGGAAUUGUCAUUGCCAGCAUUGCCCCUAUGCCUUUCUCUUGACGCAAAACCUGACUCUCCCAGUUUUUAUCCUUGUAGGGUGCUUUGUCAUCUGCAAAUUGCUUCUCAGGUCUGUCCAAAUGGUAUGGAUUGCUGCUUCUUUCCUCCUUCCUUUCUGUCCUUUCUGGACGAUGGUUAAACUGGCCUUUUGCAGCUAGAUUAACGUCUCCUGAAUCCACCGGAGCCUUCUUCUCCUUGAAUGCAGGUCUUUUCCUCGAGGUAGGAGGUUGAUCCUCUUUUCUUUCAGAAAAAACCACCUUGUCUGUGAGAUGUAUAAUUGUCAAGUUUAGCUUGUGAUUUCUCAUCUCUUUUCUCUCUUCCUUCUGUGAAUGCAAGUAUUUCCCUUCAGCUUUAUGUUUGGGAAGUUCGUAAUGAUCAUUUGAUUUGUUGUCCACAUCCUUGUGCAGAUUCUCCUCAGCUUUUGAGUUAUAAUGGUGCAAUGCAUGAGACUGACAGCGUCUGUGACCUCUAUUUUCGGCAUUAGAACUGGCUGUUUUCACUGUCUCUUUUUGUUUUCCAUCAUUUUUGUACCAAUCAAGUAUUGUUCAUUAUUAGAUUAGAUUGAAUAUAAAGCUAUGAAGCACAUACAACAGACAUGACACGGACACCAACACAUCAAUACAUGUUUCUUUUAGAAAAUGACAUAAUUUAAUAUAAUGACAUGUGUCGGUGUCAUAUCAGACACUAACACAUGUGAGACACGACAUGGACAAUGACAGACACGUCGACACCGAUAAAAUUUUGAGAAAAUGACAUAAUGUAAUCACAUGUGUCAGAUGCCGACACAUGUCAGACACCGAGACAUGCCUUCAAUGAAAAGUGUUGGUGCUACGGCCCAACAUCCCCACCACAAAAAUCAAUAAAUUAAUAAGGACAUGGGCAGAAUGGAUGCAAUACAUAGUUUCGCUUAGAGGAAUGAAUAUAACAAACAAAUAGAAUAAGUUUAGGCUAGAAGCUUACAAUUGAUCUCUUAAUGAGUGGUUAUGUUAGGUAGGGAAGAUUAACGGUAACACAUCUUGCAGCUUCAUUUUAGCCUUAUUUACUUGUAUUAUUAUUAUUAUUAUUAUACGAUAUAUCCGAUUGUCAUAUGAGAUGGACAUCUCUUAAACAAGAUCUGGAGUUCGAAAUUGUGAAUAAAAGGAUAGACACCCACACCCCUUUGAGUCUGUUUGAAUAAAAAAUAUAUAUCAUAUCCUUUGUUCUAAUAGUCUUGCUUUAAUUCAGAACCCUCAAUGAGUUUCUCUAUUUUAUUCAUCAUAUCAAAGUUCAUAAAACAACCAUAAUCACAAAUAGAAAUUAUACAUAUGUUUUAUUGUGUACAACGAAGACAACGCGGUUUUAACCUUAAAACCUCAUGCAUGCUACCCAAAUCUCUCACAACUAGAGCAAUCCUAGCAGCUUACAGGUUACAUAUACAUAUCACAUGCAAAAAUAACAGAUUAUUAGCUAAUAAUAACGGCCAUAUGUUGAGUUUAUGCUACACCAACAUCGUAAGCUUUGACUACUCUCUAACAAAAAAAUGAUCAAUGGGCGUAUGCUUGCCCUCCUUGUGAGACAACUUUUGCUUCUUGGAUUUGCUUUGUCUAUUGAUUCGGUGCUUCUGACCCUGACUGGAAGAAACAAGAUUAAUCACAUAAAAUACCUUAAACAGAAAAUGUUAAGUCAUACUCGGUCUAAUUCACAUCCCACUAUUUUGUUGCAAUUGUAAAAACCAUGACAAAUGGUAAGAGGUAUAUAUUUUACCUUUGAAUCGGAACAGAUGCUUGGUGAAUACUAGACUCUUCCUUUUGAAGCAAUUCAGCAAAAUGGAAAUCAGAGUGCUCUAAUCUUUCCUCAACAAAACUUGGAGGAAGUUCUGCUCCACAGAGUGAACAUUUAUAGUCAUCCAACCACAACAUUAUCAUUUCCUGACAAGAAUUAGGCCUAUCAUCCUCCAGGAGAUUAGACCCGUUAUUCACAUUUUUGCCCUCGAACUUCCCUUGGAAAGAAGUUGAUCCUCCCAGAACCUUUGUACAUCCACUGUGGUUAGAACUUGCAUCAGCAUUGUCAGAAGUUCGCACCUGCUAAAUACAGCAGAGGACAUAAAAAUUAGUAAUGCGGAAACAUUGUCAUGCUCCUCAAUCAGCCAAAACAAUCAUUCGAUUGCUGAAGUUGAUGUAUAUCAAUAUAUAUCGCUACUUAGUAAAAAAAAGGGUGGAGAAUGGUAGAUAUACCUUCUCUGCACCAGCAGUUUUCCGAAGAGUGGAGCUUUGGUAAUUUACAUCUAACGAAUGAUCGCCAUCAAAAGGAUCUCUGCUAUCAAGCUGACCUGUGUGUCUACCGUCAAGGGAAAGAUCAGUUUCUGUAUCAGUGACAAAGUCGUGGUCUGUAACAUCUGAAAAAGAACUAUUUUUCCUAUUGGCUUCUCCUGAAGUAAUGAAAUUGGUAAUAGUCUUCUGUGUAGGAUCAGGUGUAGCACCACACUUUUGUCCACUAAACUGUGAUACUCUAAGGCCUAAGAGGAGAAGAAAAAAAUAUUUGUUAUGCCCCUAACUUAGACAAGGAACACAUGUGAACUUUCUCACGCACUACAUCUAUAAGCAGUAAGAACCCUCUUAUAUUGGCCUUGAGGACCAUCUUAAUAAUUGCCAACAAUAAAACAAGUUAACAGAAACAUAUACCUAUUAAUCGUACUGAAACAGGAAGUUCAGCUUUCAGCAAUUUUGAUGCAUGCUUCAAAAUAUCAUCACUUGAGUUGAUGUAGUUUUGUAAAGUCACAGCUCUAUUCCGAACCUAUAGAUUGUGUAUUUCUUAGCACUUGCAAGAGAAAUAUGGCAUGAUAGUAAAAUGCAGAGUGACCAUAACACAUAUCCCCCAAGGGACUUGAACAAAUCAUAAUAACUGUUUUUUUUUUAAUGAAGCUUUAUCCACAGAGGUUACCCAGGCCAAUAAUUUACCUUAUCAUAAUCAGAAAAUUAUUAAGAAAAAAAGAGUCAAGACAUCAUAAGUACCUCAAAAGAAGCAGUUUUCAGUUUAAGAGUCAACGUUCUCCCAUGCAGACCCUCUUUUUGCAUGUCUGUGGAUAGCAUUUCAGCAAGCUCCGCUGCAAACAUAAGCUUUACAUUGUUCAUUUGUUGGUGAUAAAUUUAAUAUAUCGAAAUACUUGUCUAAUUCGGAAUCUCAGCAUGUAAUAGUCAUCAGCUAAACUUAGUCAAAGUCAUGCAUGUGUAACAAACUGCAACCUAAACUGACUAAAUCUGAGACAAUUGAGUUUCAAUUUAAGAAGUUCGCCUUCAAACUGAUGAACUACAAUUAUAAUAACAACAUUGAAAAUUUGAAAUCUACCGGAAUUCCCUGAAAGAUAAACAAUAACUGACAAGACAUAUACCCAAUUUUUUAUGCAACAGCGCUUCAUCCUCAGAGGCAGAAAACGUCCUCUCAUUGCUGAUACUUUUCCGAAAUCUUACUUGGGGAGAAUCCGUCUUUCCCAAACCUAAACCCACAGAGUAAAAAAAAUCUGCAACAAAUUGAUAAAAUGUCAUGUUAAAAGAAGGAUUUUACAUGAUUAAUUUAGAUUGAAACAUUUGACUAGAAUUCAUAAAUUAUUGUUAGUAAUCCUUUAUAUGAAGCUAAACUUACAAACAUGCCAAAUACUGGUUGUAGAAACCAGAAAGUGGAAGACAGAAUUUUCAAAAUAGACAUUAGAAAGAUAAAAAAAAAGUUCAAAAAACUGUAUGAACAUUAGUCUAGCUGGCCAUUUAAAUGAUGCUGAAAAAAACGGAAAUACUUAAACAGAUAGCUAACCUGCUGUUGACUGAGAAAAAAGAGCACUAAGAUAGCUACCCUUAUCCAGCAUCUGCUCACAUGUGCUUAUUCCAAAAACUUCCUUCAAAAUACGUUCAGUAACCUUACCGAUGCCCCCAAUCUGUCAACACUAUCAAUCACUUUUAAUUAGAAAGGCACCUCUUUCAAAGACAUAAACAUAAGAAAGUCAUUGUCGCAACUAGGAAGAAAGCCAAUAAUUUUAUAAUAACUGGCAAGAUGAAAUUAGUAUACAACUCAAACAGACCUUUCUGAUAGGAAGGGAGGAUAUGAAAGUCAUAACAGCCAAGCGGUCAUUUGGUAAAACAUACUGUCCAUUUGGCUUGUUUAUGUCUGAGCAAACCUAUAGGAGAGCAAAAUGUCAAUAGCAUAAUUCAUAGUAUGAAAUUUCCCCAGGUGACCAAACAAUCACUACAGUAUACAUCACUACUACUUUUGAGUUUCUACAGAUUAAGAAGCGCUUGCAAGAAGUACAAUUGAUGCAAGAGACUCUUGUUCAUCAUAUUCAAAGUAGAAACCACAGACAAUGCAAAACAAGGAACACAGAUAUAAAAACCUAUAUAUUUUAACACAAAGCUAGCAUUUUAGUGUUAUGUAGUAAAUUUAAUGUAUGAGUUCUCCAAACUGGGCAACUGUUGUUGAUUGAGAUAUACAGGUAAAAGUUUUGGCUAAAAAAAUUAUAUAAAAAGGUAACUGGCACUAUUAGGAGAUGUUAAGAGAGAAUUGAGGAGAUAAGCAAGUAGCAUAACAUCACGAUAAAAUGAAAAAAACUGGAAAACAGAAAAGCAUAAAGGUUUUGCCUUCCUGAUUAAUGUGCAAGUGCAGUUUCCUCCCUCAAUGUAUUUCAUUUAAAAAAUAAAAAGAAAACACCAAGUGGCAAGCAUAGAAGUAACGCAUGUGGAUUUAAGGUUUACAAGAAUGAAAGUAUGCUUUAAAACUAGCAAAUGUAAUCCAUAUGGGAAAUAUGUUUGGCAAAUAUCAUACAGAACCUUAGCAAGUAAGCGAUUCGGUGCCACUCCAGCACUACAUGUGAGACCAGUCUCUUCUAAAACACCGACUCUGAUUUCUUGAGCAAUCUACAUAUUCCGUUUUUAGAGGGAAAAAAAGAGGUUAAUACAUUUGAAGGUCUUCCAUUGCAAUUUUAAUCUGACACCAACUUACUUCUUCACUUUUGACAUUUCUUUCUCUGCAAACUUCAGUUAUAUCAAGGUAUGCUUCAUCCAGACUACCGGCGAUGAAAUUUGGAUCAUACCUCUGAAAAACUAACGAACAUGUGCAUUUUAAGCUACCAUCGGUAAUUAAAGGGAAAACCACAAUAUAAAAAUCAGUCACACAAAAAAUAAUACCUUUUCUGGUCAAAUCACUGUAAUGAGUAUACUUCUUGAAGUCAACUGGAACAAAGAUUAACUCUGGACAUAGCUUCCGUGCAAUAAAGCCAGGCAUGGCAGAACGAACUCCAAAUUUCCUGGCCUGUAUAAAGACAAAAGGAGGAUCGUAAAUUGUCAAAUUCAAUGCUACAACAGAGUUGGAGCAGAUUAAUUACUCAAUCAUUAAUCAAAUCGAUUCAAGCUUAUAAUAUAUGGAGAAAAGAAACCUCAUAAUUGGCAGUGGAUAUCAUAGACAUGCUGCCAACAGCCAUUGGCAUACCCUUUAACAUAGGGUUACUUAAUGUCUCAACUGCUGCAUAGAAAGCAUCCAUAUCUACAUGUAACCAAAUCCUUGAAAGGUCGCGCGAAGCUUCAAGUUCAAGAAUUCUUUUAUCAGCAAUCUGGUAUUUGAAAUAAUAAAUUAAAUAAGGUUUUGAAAACCCUAAAUUAAGAUUAAGAUGUAAUUAAAAUGAAAUGAAGACGGAUGGCAUGUUACCUUUUGAUAAUGUGAUAAAUCAGAGUGUGUAAGGUUUGAAAAGUGAAGACGCAUGUUUUGAACUUUGUAUUUGAUAAAAGACUCCUUCCUUUCCUCAUUCUGAAAAUAUUUGGAUCCUUUGCUCAUUUCAUAAACAAUCCUUUGUACUUUUUCUUUGUCAACACCUUCCAUUCCUGCUUUCGCGCUAGUGUAAACGGUGUUGUAAGACUGCCAUCGAUUAUCAUCGCUUCCCUCCAUCGACAUCUUCUCUUUCACUUGUUGCCGCGUCGUGCCCGGGCCUUUCCUCUCUCCUCGUUAUUAUUGAUUUUGCGUCAUCUAUUUUUUUGGUCAUGGUGAGUUUAAUUGACUAUCUAUAAUAUAAGCAAGAUCGGGUUCAAACUCCUGCUAUCACAAAAAAAAAGAAAAAUGGGAUCUCCAAAAUUAUAAGUUUCGUCAAUUACUUUCGAUAUUAACAAAAUUUUAAUUAUCUUUAAAAUUGCACAAUGUCAAUCAAUUUACCUCAUUUUGUUAAAUUUUUAUGUUAGUUAACACGACGUGACAUUUGACUGUCUACUGACCAUGUCACGUGUGGUAAUUUUUUUUCCUUCAAAAGUUAAAAUCUCGAUUUUCUUUACGAAAACCAGAUUCUUUAUUAAAACACGUGUAUAUUAUUUUUACACACUAAAAAAAUUAUUAAAAUUAAGUAAAGACUAAACUUAGAAGUUCCAAAUUUUUUAGUAACAAAAAUACCCAAAAAUAAAUUUGUCAUUACAACCGUACACACUAAAUGUGCAGUUUUAGAGUCUUAAUUGUGAAAUGUAUUUCGAAGCAUUUGAUUUUAAAGUGCCAUCAGUGAGUAAGGGUCCGUUUGUUUUGAAUUUUUUAAAAAAAAUCUAUUUUUUAAUCUAAUAAAAUCACUUUUUAAUUUUUUUAGUGUUUGUUUUAGAUUUUUAAAAAAUCCAUUUUGUUAAAAAAAAUUACUUUUAGCCUCAAAAUGAAAAGCUAUUUCAAGUGUAAGAACUUUAAAUCUUAAAAAAUGAUUUUUAUGAUAGUAAACAAGUGGAAAUAAUUUUGAAUUUUUUUUCAAAAUCUCUAAAAUAAAAAUCUCUAGAUUCUUUUAACUCAAAAUCUACUUUUUUUAAAGCUGAAACGAGCGCACCCUAAUAUCUUUUUCUUCGCAACUAUGCAGUAAGUAUUUUUUUUUGGGACAAGGUUGUAAGUAUUUAUUAAUUUUUUUUUUUUUGGGAAGGUAAGUAUUUAUUAAUGGGUUUGUCAAACAUGUACAAUAUUACAUAUAUUAAAAGCAACUAAAAAUAGUAAUUUUUGAUUGAAAAUCCAUAAAUAUUUAUUAAAAAGUUAUGUAUUUAAUGCAAAAUGUACAAGUUCCAAUGCAAAGUUACUACUCCAAAUUUACUCAUGAUAGAAAAAUCUUAAAAUACGUGUAUAUUCCAAAACAAAACCAAAAAUAAUACUAAUACAACAGAGUAUGGCCUAUUCCUUUCAAAAAAGUGUAUGGUUUCUUUUGUUUGAGUGAUGUCCUCCAAGAACGUGAAAUUUAAUGCGAUGAAGGAGGGUUGUAAAUUUACAAAUAUCACACGCAUAUAAGAAUAUGAUCGUAUGGCACAAUUUCAAUUUCUCCCCUUGACUUGACAAAUUCAGUAAAUCUAUCUCAUUCUCUCCCUUUGAAUUUACAUCCCCACCCUGCCUGAUUAAUGCGGUGCAGCGAGCCUUAAUUUUACUUCAUCGAACUUCUGUACCAGGAACCGUAGUGGUUUCCAUGUCUCUCAACAUCUGAGCAGCAAAAAUCAAAAGCUCCACCAUUUCAAGCCCGGCAGCAGAAACAGUGUCUAUCUUCUCAUCACUGCAUUGCUGAUGGACUGUUUCUACGCCCUUACUAUCUCCAGUGUAACCGACUUCUGUCUCAACUGACCAACUAAUAGGUAAGGAGCUGCCAAGAGCAGUCCUUAAAAGUUUUGCUUCAUUGAUAGCACCAUUAAGGACUUCUGAAACACCAGAAACUGUACCUUCCGAAGUCACAGACUCCUUGACCUAAAAUUUAUAAGGGAACCGUUUAAAAAAAUUAAGCUUUCAAGUUUCAAAAUUUAUAACAUGAUAAGAUUCCGUGGUAUUUCCACGUGUUGAGUUUUGACUCAAAAUUUGAUGUUUGCAUUUCAAAUAGUUUAGAAAUUAGAGUUUGCUUCGACAAAAAUCGUGGCACAAGAGGGAAUAAAUCGUAGCACGAUUUAGGUUAUCUGUGUACUAACGUGAAAUCGUGGCACGAUUUGACAGGAUCUGAAACAUUAUUUAAGCACUCCUUGACCCAUUUGUUGAGUAAGCUUGGUAAUGGUGAAUCUCAUGGAAACUAAAGGAGAGAACUUUUAUUGUACUUAGAUACUAAAGGUUGAGGGUCUUUGGGUGAGGUUCAAAGCUUCAAGAUGUGAAUCUUGGAGAACCAAAAGGGGGGGCUCUUGGGAGAGGGUUGGUGCCUUUUGGGGAGAGAUUCAUAAGGUUGGGAAACACAUCAAAAGAGAGUCUUUGUGAGCAACUUGGUGAAUCUUGGGAGACCAAAAGAGAAAAUCCUAGGAAAUCAAAGGCUAAGGGUUGGUUCUCUUUUGGGGGUUAGAUUUUAAAGUUGGAAAACAAUUGGGAAAAACUCGGGUGAGUGAAAUCAUUGGGUCUCUUGUUUAGGGGAAAAGAUUGAGAAAAAGGUAGAAAUUAGGUUUGUUCUUGGAGAGCUUGUUGAAGCUAAUUUCUUGUAAUCCUUUUGUAUCUCUUUGUAAAGAACUCAUUGAUAAUGGAUCGGAGGGAUCAAUCUCUCCCCUAGAG